rnacentral:lncRNA from 1 species
GCACGGAGCUGCUCAUCCGCAAGCUCCCGUUCCAGCGCCUCGUCCGCGAGAUCGCGCAGGACUUCAAGACCGACCUCCGCUUCCAGUCCUCCGCCGUCGCCGCGCUGCAGGAGGCCGCCGAGGCGUACCUCGUCGGGCUCUUCGAGGACACCAACCUCUGCGCCAUCCACGCCAAGCGCGUCACCAUCAUGCCCAAGGACAUCCAGCUCGCGCGCCGCAUCAGGGGCGAGAGGGCCUGAGCGAGGCGACCUCCUCCUCCCACUGAAGCCGUCGUCGUCGUCGUCGUCGUCGUCGUUUGUUGCUUCUUGCCUGCUCGUAGGAUUUGUGCUUUGCCUUGUUUCCUUCUGGUGGCACUGGCAUGCUGGUAACAUUAUGCUUGUUCGUAGUCCUAGAGGGUUGUUCAGUUGCUGGGUAACCUGCUUGUUUAUCUUGCACUGAUGCUGAUGUAAUGGUGGUCUGUUUAUCUAAAUGGAAUGCAAUUUGCUAUCGAAAUAUCUCAAUCCCGUUAUCUUGUUCGGUUACUCCCCAAUGUUUGCAAGUUAAAAUCUCUCAAUCCCUUCAGAUCCUCUCCAAUUUGUUUGGACUAGGGGAUUAGCUGAACAAGCUUACGGGGAUGCUAAAUCUGGGAUUACUUUUAAUUCUCUGAAUAUAUGUGUAUUCUAUUCUAUCCAGUGCAUUGUUUGGAUAGGUUAAAUGCAGCAUUUUGUCCUCGUUGGAUUUCAUGCAUCUCGACAUGCAAGCAACCAAUUACCUUGAAGAACACUGAUUUUCAGACAUGAUUUCUACUAAUAUCUUAAUUUGUAUAUGUCAUCAGCAUGUUCAGUGCAUCUAGAGUUUAGGUACUACUAGAUGCACAUCUGCGUACCUCAUCAGCAGAUUUCUUAUGAAUAUUAAAGAGUAUCUAGUUACUAGAGGCACAUAACACAUUUGGCAACUAGUACAUGAGUUUGCCACACCAUUUUACCUGCAGAUGGUUAAGGAAACAUGACAAAAUGAAACAGGGAAACGGCACCUAGUACUGUAAGUUAGUAGUACAGUAUUGAUGGUUGAGCAAAUGUCAUCCAACAAGGCCAAGGGUGAGAGAAGUCUCUUCGCAUUGGUGCUGCAUUUUGUUUCCUCCAAUACUUGCUGUGCUAUUGCUAAUUUCUAAUGUCAAUCAACCAAUCGCUUGCCUUAUCUUACAGGCCAAAUCCUUCUACGUCGGCAAAGACCAUGUUGGGGAUGUCCAGAUAUGGGUAGACCUGCCCAGAUGCUGUGUUCAGCUACUAUUUCCUCUUCCCAUAGAUUCGUGUACACGCUGAAAUUUCUGUGUGAUUGAAAAUUUAUUAGACUCUGAAUUAAUGAAUUCAACCUUCCACAAAGUGUAACUGAGACUGAUAAACAGUUACGGGUACCUUUUGCAGGUUAACUCGAGGAUGAUGGGUGACUCUGCCUACAAAAGCACUCUCGGUUGUUUUUUGUUAAGAUGCUAAAGAAUGAUGUAUGUCUCAGUUCCACGCUGGUACUCAUGUUAUCCUGGGUUUAAAUAUUUAGAUGAGCAGAAAAUAUACAGACAUGAUCUUCCACUAAACACAUCUAAUACCUAAACUAAUAGUAUAAUGUGUAAUCUCCCAAAAGAGCAUAUAGUGUGUAAUGUGUUCAUCACUCGUGCAGCCUCUCUUGGAAUUUAAUUGAUGUGAUAAUAGUAUUCACUGUAACAUGGUGACAACCAUGUGCUGGUGCCCCAAUUUUGACACAAUUCUAGGAGCUGUCUUAUCCCUUCCAGAACUUGUCUUAAGCUGUUUUCCCUUUUUAGGUUAAACAAGAAGUUGUCUUUGUAUUGGACACAGAUUCAGUGCCUUAGCUUCUUCAAGGCACCAUGUACCUUAGCUUCUCAUCUCUACCAUACACCAUGCAUCCAGUGGCUGCAAAGCUUCUUUCUCACAAGCAGUCAACCAGCAGCAGCAUAAUGUUUACAAAUACAAAUUUAUGCAACCAAAAAAGCAAGAGUGUGUACUCCCAGAUUAUAAUUUUUUUUACUGCUGCUAAUACUCCUACGUCGUUCCACAACCAAUGAACAUUUACAGGUUCAUGAUAAUGAAACUAAAUCUUUAGACACAAAUAAUUUGUCCAUCUUCCAAUGACAAAUCAUAUCUUAACUCACUGCAAUUUAGGAGCAACAAAGUCUGCUAGCAAAAAGCACAGCCAUUCAACUAUAGGCCAUUACACUUUACACUUGGGCCACAAAAGACUAUAGUUAGGUAACAAAAGACUAUAAUUAGGCCACAAAAUACUACCGUUAGCCCUGCAUAAAUUUCUCUCUAACUAGCUAGAAUAGAGCAGCAGAAUCAUAAGUCCCAGCCGUUAAGAGUUGGGUAAAACUACCAACAACAGGGUACUCUUGGAGCACAUUUGCUUCGUUGUUGCCAUCAUUCUCUCCUAAAAUAUGAGGCUGCACACCAUCCUUUUUUGCACCAUUCUUUUUCUUUUGCUGCUGCAAUGUAUGGUGACAAUUAGUUCAAGUAUGAUGACAACAUUAUAAAUAUCAAUAUUGCAGCAUACCUUGGAUACUUUUUUUGUUGGUGUGGCAGAUCUAGUUAACUUGCGCCUCACCUUGCGUAGCUUAUCAAUCCAAGUUCUCUUUCUCCUGGGAUUUUUAGACUAGACCUCCUUUUUCUUCAACUGAACAACACUAAGCAAGUCAUCUUUUUGUUUCACAUUUGACUCAACAUUUUCUUGGUCCUUACAUGAUAUUUCAUUUAUAUCAGUAGAAGAAAUAUUGAGUUUAUCCUCUAGCUGUGUACCAAGGCAAUCAAGUGCAUUAUCUAAGAACAAACAGCAUUCUGUAGAGCUAGCUGCUUUAUAUGCCAUGCUGUGAAAUUUAUGAGACAAAAACUUUAACCGAAGUUGAGCUUCCAGUUUUGGAUUUUCUACCACUUUUCUUCCUUGCCUAUCUAGAAUACUUCCAAUGCGUGCUUCUCUAGUCCAUCUCUUUAAGAUAUAAUGUGUUGGCAAUAUUUUCACAUUCAUUAAAUCAAGAACUUUCAGACCAUGUGCACACAAUAUACCUAUCCUAUUGAACAUUCCACAACUACACGAAACUAUUUGGCCGAAAGGAUCACAUGUCACUAUGCGCUCUUCCUCAAAACUCAUAUCGCCACUUAAAGUACCAAUAGAAACACCAUAUAUGUUAUCUCCAUCCAACACUCUAGAGCAUGCAGCCAUGGAUCUUUCAUAUUCACUCUGAAAAGCUUAAAAAAUAAUAGGAGUGUACACUUUGCUUGCUUGCACCAACAUAGGUGUGCACAUUCGCAUUCUUGGUAUCUUUUUCCUUGCCUCAAAUUCAGAUUCUAAUUCCUUACCUCUUUUUUCUUCCACCGUCCUCUCAAAAUGCUUCAAAAAUCUAACAAUGUCAAAAUCUGAUUUCAAGUGGUUCUUCAAUGAAUUGUUGAAACUCUCACUUAGUUGUGUACUUCUCACUCCCAAACUAAAUACAUCUCUCAUAUAACAUUCAGCCCAUUUUUCUCUUACCUUGUAGAUACUAUCUGACCAAGUUUGCUUAUGCACUUUAGAUCUCAUAUUGUCAAAUGCUUCUUGAAAUUCAGCCCUGUCCUCAUAGCCAUACAUACAGGCACUGAAAUCAGAGAGAAUAUGUGAUUCCUCAUCUUCCUCUACACCCUCAUCUUCUCCCUUCAGUGGAGAUAAAUGUUUCACAGCAUUUUGCAUUAUGUGAAAGGUGCACAAAGCAUGGUAUGACUCUGUGAACACAUUCUUUAUUGCCUUUCCCAUUGCUAUGUCUUGGUCUGUAUAGAUAGUUUUAGGCUGGUUUCCAUUAUGUGCAGCUAGAAAAGUCUCAAAGAGCCAUGUAAAAGAGUCUUUAGUUUCAUCAAAGAGAAUUGCAGCACCAAAAAUAGUGGUUUCUCUGAACUGGUUCAGCCCAAGAAAAACACCAAAUGGCCUAUACUCUUUGUUUGUGCCAAAGGUAGUGUCAAAUGUCACAACAUCUCCAAAAUAUGCAUAAUCAAGGAUCAUUUUUGCAUCAGCCCAGAAAAUAUUGGUUAUAUGCUCCUCACAAUCAACCUGCAAAGCAUAUUGGAAUGAUGGGUUCUCGGAGACUUUGUCAUGAAAAUACUUCAGCAUGCUACCUGCCUGCCCAAAAGCCAACUCCCUCUGUCGUUUGCUUUGCAAAUAGUUUUUGCGGUCACGACAAGUGUAGCUAAGGUUAAGCGGUCCACCAACUUGACGACUAGCCAACUCAUGUGCAGCUUUUGGCCUAAUUCCAGAAUCAUCAGCUGUUUCGAUUUCAAAAGCUUGCAAUUCUGGAUUUCUAAACCUCAAACCCAGUUCCGGUAUCACCUUGACAAAUUCCUCCAUUCCUAAAUCUGAAAUGCCUGAAUCUAAAAUUAGUAAGCUGAAUGCCUGAAUCUGAAAUUAGUAAAUUGAAUGGAUGAAUAUGAAAUUAGUAAGCUGAAUGCCUUAGGUGGUUCAUUGAAUCUCAAAUUAGUAGACUGAAUGCAUGAAUAUGAAACUAGUAAGCUGAAUGCCUUAGGUGGUUCAUCGAAUCUGAAAUUAGUAAGCUGAAUGCCUGAAUCUCAAACUCGUAAACAAUCGUAGGGAUGAAGGGUGUACCAGCAGCAGCACGACUUCGACCAACUCCUCGCAAGGCAUGGCGAUGCGGGAGAUGGUCCAUAGGUCUGCACUCCCGAGCGCACGAGCUCCUCCUCCCUCUCCUUCGAACUCGGGGACGAACAGUGAGUCCGCGAUGAGGUGCGCAGCAGGAAGGUGACACCGGGAGGGACGCACGGCAGAGCGUGCGGCAUGCGGCAGCGUGGGAGAGCAAAGGGACGCGCGGCACAGCAUGCGGCAGUGCGACGUGCGGCAGCGUGGGAGAGCAGAGGUCCGCGCGGCACAGAGUCCUCCCUGCGCGAGGGAGGAGAGCGGCGCGGGAAAAAAUUGCGAGUGCGCACGCUAUGACGUGCAGGUCUCCCGCCUGGUGAAAAAUGGGUUCUUUAUUUUUUUGCCACCGGUGAAAAAGGACCUCCUUGGCAGCCGUUGGAUGGCAGGUUUACGGUAGAGAUAGGUAGCUAUGGUACGUGGUGCCAUGGAGAAGCUACGGCACUGAAUCUGUGUCCCUCGAAGUGUGGGGUGUAGUCUACUGUUUUAUUCCAUCAUGUACUGUCCAUUUUGUUUCUUGACAGCACAUAUUAGGAGUUGUAUUUUGUGCCGUAUAAUGAUGUAACUAGCCUCUGGUCAGGGUAAAUUUGUGCUUUAGAAUAUACUGAAUUGAGUAUACUGUUUUGUCCAUUUUGCUUUAGAAAAUGAUAAAGCAAAGUUCAAAUAUUCUGUUUUCCCUUUUGCUUAUUUUGGAUGUCUAGAGACUUUGGUAUUAUAUAGUUGCUUUUAUAGAGGAUUCAGAGGGAGGAGAAACAAAUGAGAGUAGACUCAGAUAAUAAAAUUUGUUUCUGACUCCAAGCUCAACGUUAGGAUUCAUGGCUCUGAGGUCGGAGCCACAGAUCUCGGCUCCAAGGUCGGUGCCAAGUUCUGUGGCUCCGAGAUACCAGCCACGUCAGUACUACCUAGUAUAUCUUGAUGUGCAUGGCUAGCCACCUCGGAGCCAAGAUUUGUGACGCCUCAAAGAUAAGUUUAUAUCACUUAAGGGACCAAAUAUAAAUUUGUUUUAAGAAAAAGACUAAAAAAAUUGAGUAAGAUAUGCAUAACAUGAUCCAUACCUAAAAUAUCUCGUGCACAGUAUUUUAGUGGCAAACAAACAAACUCAAACAGAGAAUGCAAACCUAGGAUGCAUUUUGGGUUGGAGGGGUUGCCGAACGCAAAUCAUCCUCCCUUCGUCACUUUGCGUCUCCGCAUAGUGGGGCACUGGGGCCCACCACGACCAUGCAGCAGGACGAUCGGAGCAGGCUCAAUGCGGCGACCGCUCGGCAGCUUCGCCUCGUGGCGGCAAGCAUCCAAGUGGGGCGCUGUAAGUGCAUUCGCCCCCGGUGUGGGUUUUGAUAAUUAAUGACAAUCGAAUUAGGAACUAACAUGUCUAUCAAGUGUAAUCUACAGGUGUUAGUUCAUUGAUGGAAUCAAACAAACACAUUUGGUGAAUCACAGCACCCCCAAAAUUUCUUCAUAUAAGCGACGUUUCAACUCAAGGAGCUACUUAGUUCUAUUUCUUGGUUGAGUUAUAGGAAACGCCGCACUAUCAAGAGGGAUGCAAAUUGAGUCGGUAAGAUGAGGAUAAAGGUGCUCAGGUCAUCUUAGGUCUUGCGCUUGAGACACACACUUGCACACACGAACUUCUGGAAAGUUUCUUCUCUGCCAGGGUGAACCGGUAGUACCGGCCCUCAGGGCCGGUGGUACCGGCAGUGCCAGCUCUUCUCCUGAGUUUUGCGAGAAAUUGAACUACCGGUAGUACCGGGCUUUGACCGGUGGUACCGGCUACCGCCGGUAGUACCGGUGAAACGCCGGUAGUACCGGCAGGCAAAAAUCCCGCAGAACUCAUGUUUUGCGAGAUUUUGCACUGCCGGUGGUACCGGCCUUCAACCGGUAGUACCGGCGCUGGCCGGUAGUACCGGUAGGCCUUUUUCUCGCAUCUUUCUCAGCUUUCUCACGUUUAGAUCUGGGGGCGCCGGUGGUACCGGUGUUUGCACCGGUAGUACCGGCCAUUUUUGCUGAGGGGAUUUCUGAGGCUGACAUUGAUGCUGCUGAAAUGUACAAGCCAGGAGCUCAUCCGGAUCUCAAGACCACUCACCUGAAGCCUUACUUCUAUGUGCUGAACAACCUGAUCCGCUACACCAUUGACCCAAAGUUUGGAGAUUCCAUUCACCUUCGUCAAGAUGCUCCUAAAAUUUUGGCUCGCUUUGGUGCUAAUGGUGGCCGCUUUGGUGUCUCGGAUUUCAUGUGGAACAAGAUUGCUGAUGCGUCCGUGGAUCCAAACAAGUACCUGCCCUAUGCUCCAUAUCUGAUGCAUAUUAUUGAGCAAGUGACUGGCAUGCAGUUCUCGCACCCUUGCAUUCAUGCUCCGGUCCGUGCAAAGCACUUGGGUCCUCCUCAUGCUCCUCCUCUCAGUCCUGCUGGUGCUGCUACUCCUAGUGCUGCUACCCCUGGUUUUGCCACUCCUGCUGGUGCUGCUGAUGCUCAUGGUGAAGAUAUUCCUCCUCAGGGAAGCGGUCGUGGUCGCCGCAGUCCUACCCGUCAUGCGUUGCAGCGGUUCUUCUCCUACUUUUGCUAUUGCCAAAAGAAGACCGAUCAGCGUCUCUGUCGUCUUGAGGAGAAGGCAGAUCUUCCUCCGUCCUCUCCUCUUCGUGAGUUCCAGGAUCCCUAUGAUGCAUAUGACAACAUGCACCGGACUUCGGCUGAUGACGGUGAGGAGCAGCAGGAUCCUCCCUCUGCUUUUGAUCCAUCCUAUGGUGGUGGGAUUCCUGCUGGUUUCUCAAUGGAGGACACCGAGGCUGGCUUUGCUUAUCAGGAUCUCUUUGGAGCUGCGGACGAUGUUACCAGGGCCUCUGCUUCUGUUGCACCCCCUCAUGAGCAGUCCACCUCAGCUGAUCCUCAUGGUAAGGGUCCGUUGCGUACCUUCAUCGACUACAGCGACGACGACGACGACGAUGACGACCUUGGUGGUGGUGACGAGUAGUCUUUCUAGCUCUUCCUCGCAGCCUACCCUUUUUGGCACUUGCUGCCAAAGGGGGAGUGUUAGGCUUAUAUUUGCUGUAAUAAGUUAGUUGCUGGUACCCGUCUUAAACUUUCUUAGUGAUGAACUAUGUGUGGUGAACAAGUACUUCGUUGUGUGAUGGUUGAUUGUAAGUUAAACACUUAUAUUUCUCGUUAUAUCCUGCUUGUGUUAGCUUCUUUAGACUUUUGUUGGUGCAAUGUUGUUUUGAAUGGUUAUUGUGAGUCCCUUGGUUCUUGCACAAUCAUUCAAUUUCUUCUUUUACUCUUUGUGAUAUACCCUGUCAUACGCAUCACGGUUUAUUUCUUGUCACACACACACCUUUUUAGGCACCCCACGAAUUACAAAAUUUAGGGGGAGCUUGAUCUUAAUGUAUGCCAUCUUGAUAUUAAUCAAGAUUUGAAAUUCCAAAUUCAAUGCAUACAUUAAGGGGGAGCCCAACCUAAUUUUUGGAAUUCAAAAGCUCUACUUCUUUCAAUCUUUUAUAAGCCUAAGUUGGUUGUCAUCAAUUACCAAAAAGGGGGAGUUUGUAAGUGCAUUCGCCCCCGGUGUGGGUUUUGAUAAUUAAUGACAAUCGAAUUAGGAACUAACAUGUCUAUCAAGUGUAAUCUACAGGUGUUAGUUCAUUGAUGGAAUCAAACAAACACAUUUGGUGAAUCACAGCACCCCCAAAAUUUCUUCAUAUAAGCGACGUUUCAACUCAAGGAGCUACUUAGUUCUAUUUCUUGGUUGAGUUAUAGGAAACGCCGCACUAUCAAGAGGGAUGCAAAUUGAGUCGGUAAGAUGAGGAUAAAGGUGCUCAGGUCAUCUUAGGUCUUGCGCUUGAGAGACACACUUGCACACACGAACUUCUGGAAAGUUUCUUCUCUGCCAGGGUGAGCCGGUAGUACCGGCCCUCCGGGCCGGUGGUACCGGCAGUGCCAGCUCUUCUCCUGAGUUUUGCGAGAAAUUGAACUACCGGUAGUACCGGGCUUUGACCGGUGGUACCGGCUACCGCCGGUAGUACCGGUGAAACGCCGGUAGUACCGGCAGGCAAAAAUCCCGCAGAACUCAUGUUUUGCGAGAUUUUGCACUGCUGGUGGUACCGGCCUUCAACCGGUAGUACUGGCGCUGGCCGGUAGUACCGGUAGGCCUUUUUCUCGCAUCUUUCUCAGCUUUCUCACGUUUAGAUCUGGGGGCGCCGGUGGUACCGGUUUUUGCACCGGUAGUACCGGCCAGUGUUCUGUACUCUAGUAUAAAUAGCUCUUCCCUCUUUUCUAACCGUUAGCUUGCUCAUUCUUGCUACUCCAACUUUGAGAAAACAGUCUCCAAGCUUUGUCUCACCCACUCUCUCUCUCCCUCUUGCUCCUAGACUUCAUUUCUUGAGAGAUUCGAGCUAGAGAAGUGAGAUUAGAGAGUUGGGAGCAUCGAUCUGCGACUUGAGCACUCCGUUCCUCGUCUUGCCGGUUUGGUUUGCAUUUGUUACUCUUGGGUUCUUGGAACCCUAGCCGGCUAGGCGUUCUUCGUGGUUGCCCGUGUUGAUUCAUUUGUGAGGGCACCCCGAAGUGUUUGUAUUACCCCUUGAUUCUUAGUGGAAACAUCAAGCCAACCUUUGUGGUUGCUUGAGGAGGAGACCUAAGUGGUCAGACCUUCGUGGUCACCUCAACAACGGGGACGUAGGUACUCCUUAGUGGAGAUUGCCGAACCUCGGGAAAAAUACCUUGUCUUGCUGUGGAGGUAGCUUCGACUACCCUUGCUUGUGUUCUUUGUGUUCCUAUCUCUCUCCCUUCUUUCAACAGGUAAACAAAGGUCGAUCUACGUUUUGGUGAAGGAUUGAGCUAAGGGAACUCCAACAACAUCCUCCUCUAUGCUUAGGAAAGUGGGGUAAAACUCAGAUCUGAAAUCUAAGCACUUUAUACUCAGAUUUCGUAGCUGUCUUAGGAAGUCGGUAGUACCAGCAGUUUGCGUCGGUAGUACUGGCUGUGUGACACCAGUAGUACCGGCCCAAACUGUCGGUGGUACCGACAGGCAUUUGACUUCCGCAACUUGAGUUUUUGAGUUUCAGGUUUUUAAGAUACGCCUAUUCACCCCCCCUCUAGGCCAAUUAGAUCCUUUCAAUUGGUAUCAGAGCCAGGUUCCUCGUACAAACGCUUCACCGCGUGAGGAAUAACAUUGGUCAAGAUGGAUCCAACAACUCAACAACAAAUCGUUGAGCAAAUCACAGCACAGAUCACAGCAUCCUUGCAGCUGCAGCAGAAAGAGCAGAUGAAGAAAAUGCAAGAAGAGCUAGACAAGAUGAAAGAACUCCUAGGUAAAAGGAGUCUUGAGUCUGAUGGAGAAGGUGGAAAUGAAGAUGCUAGCAAAGGGCCAAAGUCCUACAACAACACUGGGUUUGAUUACAGCAGCUCAAGCAAAAAUCCAACAUUGCCGAUGAUCAAUCCUGGAAAGCCACCUCCAUUUGAUGGUAUAAGGUAUACCGAUUGGGCUCAUAGAAUGAAGUUGCAUCUCAUUGCAGCAAGAUGCUGGGAAGUAGUGGACAUUGGAGUGAAUCCACCGCAAAAUCCAAGUGAGUGGACUUCCGAAGAUGAGAGAGACUUUCACCUCAAUGCAACAGCUGCCACCUUGAUUCUGCAAUGUCUCACUCCGGAAGACAACAACAAAGUAAAUGAUAUGGUGAAUGCUAAGCAGAUUUGGGACACCUUGAAAGUGUCAUUUGAAGGAGACAAGAGUGUAAGAGUAGGAAACAUUGAGCUCUUGCAAAGCAAGAUUGAAAACUUUUGCAUACUUGAGGGAGAAACAACAAAAGCCAUGUUUGAUAGGUUUAUGUCAUUGAUCAAUCAAAUUAGAGCACUUGGAGCAACAACAUGGGAUGACAACUCUGCAGCAAGAAAGAUUUGUAGGGUGUAUAGACAAAGGAACAACAUGCGCGCAUCCGUUAUCAUGGAGAAAGACAACUAUCAUACUAUGACUCCUCAAGAAAUGCUAGCAAAGUUGAUGCACCAUGAAGUCUUGGAUGAUGAAGCCAAAGAAGCCCUAAAUCAAAGAAAGAACAUAGCACUCACAGCUUCACAUGGAAGUGAGUCAAGUCAUUGCAACAAAGGAUGUUGUGAGCAUAAGCACAAAGAGGAUGAUGAUCUCGAUGAAGAACAAGCUAUGCUAGUGGGAAACUACAAGAAUUAUCUGAGAAUGAAGAAAGAUAAGAUGAGGAGAUACGGAGGAAGCAAGCCAUAUAGGAAAAGGUUUUGCUAUGAGUGUGGUGACACCGGCCAUCUUGCAGUAGAUUGUCCAAAUAAAGGAAAGAAGUCAAGGUACACCAAACAAAAUGACAAGAAGUACAAAGACAAGAAGAAAGGGGAAGCUCACCUCGGGCAAGAAUGGCAAUCGGACAGUGACAGUGAUGAUGAUGACAAUGAGAAGAAGAGUGUAGCUGCCAUCGCAGUACAAGAAGGAUCCUCCCCAAACAAGAUCCUCACCAACGCUGCCUCAUCAACAGCACUCAUCUCCGACAUCCAUUCAUCGCCUAGGCUCUUCGCCAACCUCUCCGAUGACGAUGAUGACACCCCUACAUGCCUUAUGGCAAAAGGAGAUAAGGUACAAGCUGACUUCUCUCCUCAAACCACUAGUGACUAUAAUAGUGAUAAUGAAGAUGAUGAAAACUAUGCCAACAAUCUCAUUAAGAAAUAUGGUAAAGCUGCUGCAACCAAAAUUCUAAAACUAAUAUACGCUAAUGACAAGCUUGAGUCAUGCAUCGAGUCGCAAGGGGAAUUGCUCCUAGAGGAAAGGGAGAAGAACCAAGGGCUCGAAGUAUGUCUCUCCAAGGAAAAGGAGAGGGUUGAGAAAUUGGGUGUGGAAUUGUCUUUAGUCAAGGACUCCAAUGAGCGAUUGACUAAGGAACAUUCUUCACUCAAUGGAUCUUUGGCUAGCCUAAAGACUAAUCAUAGUUUGGCUCAAGAAAGCCUCACAAGCUUGACAACAAAAUAUCAUGAGCUUGAACAAAACUAUGAAAAGCUUUGGACUAGCACCUCUACCAUUUCCAAGGAUUCAAAAGCCUCCACAAGUAAAAGCUGUGAAAGAUGCAUAAAUGUUGAUAUAAAUGCAUGUCUCACUAACCUUGAUGAGUUAGCCAAGAAGGACAAGGAGAUCCAAAGAUUAAACACAAUUGUCAAGAUUGGUUGCAAGUGUAAGGACAAGCAACCGGCAAAUGUGUUCAAGGCAUCAAGGCACCCCAUAAUCAAGGAUGGCCUCGGAUACAUCAGGUAUAGUGGUAGAGCCAAUGGAAGAAACAUGAUAAAUGGGGUGGCUUGUGUGAAGUUCAACAAGAGUGUGCCUCUUGUUGACCUUAUUGACAAAGUGAACAAUGUUGUCACUCCUACAAUCCCACUUGCAAGCAACAAGGACAUCAAAAAGAAGCCAAGGGAAAUGCCCAAGCAACAAGCGACUAUUUCACGCAAUCAUAUUUGUGACUACAUGUGUUGUUGGGAUAAGGAUGGCAAUAUUGUUGUGAAGUAUGUGGGCGCCCUCAAGAAGAGACAAAUCUUGAGGAGUGUUUGGGUGCCCAAAUCUUAUGUGUCUAACCCCCUAGGUUCCAACUCGGGACCUAAAACAAAGGCUUAAUCUUAUCUUGCAGGUUUAUUCCUCCGGUGGGCCAAGUUGGGUGCUCGAUAGUGGAUGCACCAAUCAUAUGACCGGAGAGAAGAGCAUGUUCACCUCCUUUCAACCAAGUCAAACCACAAGUGAAAGGAUUGUGUUUGGUGACAAUAGUAAAGGAGAUAUCCUUGGUUUAGGUAAAAUUGCAAUUUCAAAUGAUAAUUCCAUUUCGAAUGUUUUGCUUGUGGAUUCGUUGGGAUACAACUUGUUGUCCGUCUCACAACUUUGUGAGAAGGGUUACAAUUGUCUCUUUACGGAUAAGGGUGUGGAAGUCUCUAGAAGGUCGGAUUCCUCUAUUGCUUUUACGGGUCAACUAAAGGGCAAGCUCUAUCUAGUUGACUUUUCAGCUAGUAGAGUGGGGUCCGAGACUUGUUUAGUGGCAAAAUCUAGCAUGGGCUGGUUGUGGCAUCGCCGUCUAGCCCAUGUUGGGAUGAGGAACUUGGCCGAUCUUCAAAGAGGUGAACACAUCCUUGGACUAACAAAUGUUUCUUUUGAGAAAGAUAGAAUUUGCAGUGCAUGUCAAGCGGGAAAACAAGUUGGAGCUAAGCAUCCCGCGAAGAACAUUGUGACUACAUCAAAACCACUUGAGCUCAUUCACAUGGAUUUAUUCGGACCCAAUGCUUACAUAAGCAUUGGAGGUAACAAAUAUGGUUUUGUAAUUGUUGAUGAUUUUUCUCGCUUCACUUGGGUAUUCUUUUUGAAGGAUAAGAGUGAGACUCAAGGAAUCUUCAAGAAGUUUGCAAGAAGGGCUCAAAAUGAUUUUGAAGUGAAGAUCAAGAAAGUGAGAAGCGACAACGAGACUGAAUUCAGAAACACCAACAUUGAAGCAUACCUUGAUGAAGAAGGCAUCAAGCAUGAGUUCUCGGUUGCAUACACUCCACAACAAAAUGGUGUAGUGGAAAGAAAGAACCGAACACUCAUUGAAGCCGCAAGAGCAAUGUUGGAUGAAUACAAGAUUUCCGAAAAAGAUUAUUGGGCAGAAGCGGUUAACACAGCAUGUUAUGCUAUCAACCGCCUAUAUCUUCACAAGCUGAGGAAGAAAACUGCCUACGAGCUCCUAACCGGUAAAAAGCCUAAGGUGGAUUACUUCAGAGUUUUUGGAUGCAAGUGUUUCAUACUUAAUAAAAGAUCCAAAAGCUCUAAGUUCGCACCAAAGGUCGAUGAAGGAUUCUUACUUGGUUAUGCUACUAAUCAACAUGGCUAUCGUGUUUUCAAUGAGACCACCGGUCAAAUUGAAAUAGCGGUAGACGUGACGUUUGAUGAAAGCGACGGCUCUCAAAAGGAGCAAGUCAAUGCUGAAAUUUUAGGUAAAGAAGAGCCAUCACACCAAGUAACCAAAAAGCUUGCUACCGGUGAAGUGAAACCCGUUGAAGAAGAAGAAGAUGAUGCACACAUGCAAAUUCCUCGUGACCCAAACCUGCAUCAUGGGUCAACCAGUACCCAUGAUAAUGCUUCCACAUCAAGAAGAGGUCAUAACUCAAGAGAACAAGCUGGACAAGAUCCGCCUCAAGCACAAGAACCAAACCAAGAUGGAGAUCAAAACGUUGAAGAUCUAGACUCUUCAAUCAACCAAGACCAUGAAGAUGAAGAUGAUGGUCCCAUUCAAACAAGAACAGCGGUGCCUCACCCAAGAGUCCAUCACUCUAUUCAACGGGAUCAUCCCGUUGAUAGCAUUUUGGGAGACAUACAACGAGGGGUAACAACACGCUCUCGUUUAGUUGGUUUUUGUGAACAUUACUCUUUUGUCUCCUCUAUGUUGCCAAAUAGGGUGGAGGAUGCCUUGGCGGAUCCGGAUUGGGUGAUGGCUAUGCAAGAAGAGUUAAACAACUUCACUAGGAAUGAAGUCUGGUCCUUGGUGGAAAGACCCAAGCAAAACGUGAUAGGUACCAAAUGGGUCUUUCGCAACAAAGAAGAUGAGUAUGGCGUGGUCACUAGAAACAAGGCUCGAUUGGUUGCCAAAGGUUUCACUCAAAUCGAAGGUUUGGAUUUUGGGGAGACUUAUGCACCUGUAGCUAGGCUUGAAUCUAUUCGUAUAUUACUUGCCUUUGCUGCUCACCAUGAUUUCAAGUUGUUUCAAAUGGACAUGAAAAGUGCAUUCCUAAAUGGCCCCCUCUCCGAAACCGUGUACGUGGAGCAACCACCGGGUUUUGAAGAUCCACAUCAUCCUGAUCAUGUAUACAAGCUGGACAAGGCACUCUAUGGGCUUAAGCAAGCCCCUAGAGCUUGGUAUGAUUGUCUCAAGGAUUUCCUACUCAAACAAGGAUUUGAGAUUGGGAAAGCCGAUCCCACUUUAUUUACUCGCAAAGUCAAUAAUGAUAUUUUUAUAUGCCAAAUAUAUGUCGAUGACAUUAUAUUUGGUAGUACUAAUGCGGACUUCAGUGAGGAAUUUAGUAGGAUUAUGACCAAGAGGUUCGAGAUGUCCAUGAUGGGGGAGUUGACCUACUUCCUUGGAUUUCAAAUCAAGCAACUCAAGGACGGCACAUUCAUAAGUCAAACCAAGUACACCACUGACAUGCUAAAGAAGUUUGACAUGGACAAGGCCAAACCCAUAAAGACACCAAUGCCAACAACCGGACAUCUUGACCUUGAUGGAGACGGCAAGGCCAUUGAUCAAAAGGUAUAUCGCUCCAUGAUUGGAUCUUUGCUUUACCUUUGUGCAUCUAGGCCUGAUAUUAUGCUUAGUGUGUGCAUGUGUGUAAGAUUUCAAGCUAAUCCGAAAGAAUGUCAUCUUAUGGCUGUUAAGAGAAUCUUUCGAUAUCUUGUGUUCACUCCUAAUCUUGGCUUAUGGUACCCAAAGGGCUCCACUUUCACUCUACUUGGCUACUCCGAUUCGGACUAUGCCGGUUGCAGGGUAGAGCGAAAGAGUACAUCAGGAACUUGCCAAUUCCUUGGUAGGUCUUUGGUGUCAUGGAGUUCCAAGAAACAAAACUCCAUUGCCCUUUCCACCGCUGAAGCCGAGUAUGUGGCGGCCGGCGCCUGCUGUGCCCAACUACUUUGGAUGAAGCAAACCUUGAGAGACUUUGGUUGUGAGCAAAGCAAGAUUCCCCUCUUAUGUGACAAUGAGGGGGCAAUCAAGCUAGCUGAUAAUCCUGUGAACCACUCUAGAACAAAGCACAUAGACAUUCGACAUCACUUCCUGAGAGACCACCAAUCCAAAGGAGAUAUCGCUGUGCAACAUGUGAGAACCGAAUACCAGUUAGCCGAUAUCUUCACUAAACCUCUAGAUGAGUCAAGGUUUUGUGCUUUGAGGCGUGAACUAAAUAUCGUUGAUUCUCGUAACAUGGCUUGAUGUCUUGCACAUACUUGAUUGAUUAGAAAGGACAAAUCUUUGUGAAAAACUCUAGUGUCUUUCAAAACCUAUUUUUCACGUAUGAAGCUGGCCAUUUUUUGUAAUGAUUUGAUGAAAUCUGGCCAUGAUUGAUUUGUUUUUAAGUUCCCCACACUAAAUUCAUCAUUAAGCGCUGUUUUCUGCCCUGCCGGUGGUACCGGCGCCUAGCACCGGUGGUACCGGCCCAGCCGGUGGUACCGGCCAAAGCCCGGUAGCACCGGUAGGCCAAAAUCCCGCAGAAUUCAUCUCGCAGGUCUCUGGCCCGCCGGUGGUACCGGCCCCUGAAGCCGGUAGUACCGACAGUGCUUUUUACUGCGGUAUAUAAGCCGCCCGCGGUUAUUCUCCUUCUUAUCUCUUCCCCACCCGCCUGCCCCUUUCUCUCUCUCCAACUCCCGGCGGCGGCGGCUCUUCCCUUGCCCCGAUCUCUUUGCUCCUCCAUCUUCGUCGCCCGAUCUUUGAGGAGGACGUUGCCCCGGCCGUGAGGGACGCGUGGAGGUCCUUGGUUGACUCCAAGACCCGUGGGUUUGCUUGGAUUCGGCUCCUCUUCUUUGUGAAGCAAGGUACAUCUUGAAGUUGCCCGAUCUCCCAAUGUACCUAUCUUUAGGCCGAUUCCUCGCAAUCCUUUCCUUAUCUUAGUGUGUUCUUGCCCCUAGAAUGUUUUAUGCGCUUUUCCCGUGGUCAAUUUAGUCGAUAGGAGGUGAUUUCCUUGCUCCACGGUGCCGCUGGUAGUACCGGCCCUAGGGCCGGUGGUACCGGCCCCUGUGAGCAAGGCAGUUCCUCCCAUCGCCUUGAUCGAUUUCUUGUUACAUUCUAGUAUGGCCUUGUAACGAUCUCUUGCUGCCCCUCUUUGUGGUGUUGUAGCAUGGAUUCCGGCAAGCGCAAGAACCCUCCUCGUGGUGCUCGUCCUCGCUCCAGUGAUGCCGGUGGUCGGUCUGCGGACCGGUCGGUGCGUGGUCGUGGAACUCCUUCUCGCAGUUCGGGUGCGGCUGGUGCUUCCACUGGUGAUGAGGGCAUUCCUGCCCCUCUUCACACCCACACCAUCCCGUGUCCGCCUCCUUCCCAUCCAGCCAGAGUUCGAAGUCAAGCUGUGCCGGAUCCUGUGCAAGAGGAGGGCAGAUCCAUGGACCCCAAUGUCCUUCGUCGCUCCCCUCUGCAUCUCAGUGAGGUUGGUGCUCGCCGGACUCUCCAAUGGCAUCCUCAGUUCAAUGCUCAUGUCCGGAGGCCCUCUAUUCCCUCUGGUACGUUGCCCCGUUUUGGUAUUGAUUACAAGAAGCGUCUUACGGACUUAAGAACUCAGCGCAGCGAGAACCCGUACAAGUUCAUCAAGUUUGAGGGAGUUGAGGAGAGGUUUUGGUCUCAGUUUCACAAUGACUUUUAUGAGUCCGUCCUCUACAAGGGCAGCAAAGCUACCAAGAAUGGACCUCUUUUUCAGCACAAGUAUGUGGUCCUCAAGUCCUUACAAGAUUUCAAUCAUCCGGAGGUCACUGCUUUGAUUCAAAGGCUUGAAGAAUGGCGUAUUCUUCCUCUUAUGACUCUUGAGAAGAAUUGGAAUGAGGAGAUCCUCUUUCAGUUUUGGGCAACUUUGUGGGUCGAUCAAGCCUCUAGGGUGCUGCAUUGGAUGACUCACGGUGUUCACUAUCGCCUUGAUUUUAUCACUUUCUGUCGUUUGCUUGGUUUUGAUCACUUGGAUCGGGAUGCACCCCGGCUGUCUACCAUUUUUGCUGAGGGGAUUUCUGAGGCUGACAUUGAUGCUGCUGAAAUGUACAAGCCAGGAGCUCAUCCGGAUCUCAAGACCACUCACCUAAAGCCUUACUUCUAUGUGCUGAACAACCUGAUCCGCUACACCAUUGACCCAAAGUUUGGAGAUUCCAUUCACCUUCGUCAAGAUGCUCCUAAAAUUUUGGCUCGCUUUGGUGCUAAUGGUGGCCGCUUUGGUGUCUCGGAUUUCAUGUGGAACAAGAUUGCUGAUGCGUCCGUGGAUCCAAACAAGUACCUGCCCUAUGCUCCAUAUCUGAUGCAUAUUAUUGAGCAAGUGACUGGCAUGCAGUUCUCGCACCCUUGCAUUCAUGCUCCGGUCCGUGCAAAGCACUUGGGUCCUCCUCAUGCUCCUCCUCUCAGUCCUGCUGGUGCUGCUACUCCUAGUGCUGCUACCCCUGGUUUUGCCACUCCUGCUGGUGCUGCUGAUGCUCAUGGUGAAGAUAUUCCUCCUCAGGGAAGCGGUCGUGGUCGCCGCAGUCCUACACGUCAUGCGUUGCAGCGGUUCUUCUCCUACUUUUGCUAUUGCCAAAAGAAGACCGAUCAGCGUCUCCGUCGUCUUGAGGAGAAGGCAGAUCUUCCUCCGUCCUCUCCUCUUCGUGAGUUCCAGGAUCCCUAUGAUGCAUAUGACAACAUGCACCGGACUUCGGCUGAUGACGGUGAGGAGCAGCAGGAUCCUCCCUCUGCUUUUGAUCCAUCCUAUGGUGGUGGGAUUCCUGCUGGUUUCUCAAUGGAGGACACCGAGGCUGGCUUUGCUUAUCAGGAUCUCUUUGGAGCUGCGGACGAUGUUACCAGGGCCUCUGCUUCUGUUGCACCCCCUCAUGAGCAGUCCACCUCAGCUGAUCCUCAUGGUAAGGGUCCGUUGCGUACCUUCAUCGACUACAGCGACGACGAUGACGACGAUGACGACCUUGGUGGUGGUGACGAGUAGUCUUUCUAGCUCUUCCUCGCAGCCUACCCUUUUUGGCACUUGCUGCCAAAGGGGGAGUGUUAGGCUUAUAUUUGCUGUAAUAAGUUAGUUGCUGGUACCCGUCUUAAACUUUCUUAGUGAUGAACUAUGUGUGGUGAACAAGUACUUCGUUGUGUGAUGGUUGAUUGUAAGUUAAACACUUAUAUUUCUCGUUAUAUCCUGCUUGUGUUAGCUUCUUUAGACUUUUGUUGGUGCAAUGUUGUUUUGAAUGGUUAUUGUGAGUCCCUUGGUUCUUGCACAAUCAUUCAAUUUCUUCUUUUACUCUUUGUGAUAUACCCUGUCAUACGCAUCACGGUUUAUUUCUUGUCACACACACACCUUUUUAGGCACCCCACGAAUUACAAAAUUUAGGGGGAGCUUGAUCUUAAUGUAUGCCAUCUUGAUAUUAAUCAAGAUUUGAAAUUCCAAAUUCAAUGCAUACAUUAAGGGGGAGCCCAACCUAAUUUUUGGAAUUCAAAAGCUCUACUUCUUUCAAUCUUUUAUAAGCCUAAGUUGGUUGUCAUCAAUUACCAAAAAGGGGGAGUUUGUAAGUGCAUUCGCCCCCGGUGUGGGUUUUGAUAAUUAAUGACAAUCGAAUUAGGAACUAACAUGUCUAUCAAGUGUAAUCUACAGGUGUUAGUUCAUUGAUGGAAUCAAACAAACACAUUUGGUGAAUCACAGCACCCCCAAAAUUUCUUCAUAUAAGCGACGUUUCAACUCAAGGAGCUACUUAGUUCUAUUUCUUGGUUGAGUUAUAGGAAACGCCGCACUAUCAAGAGGGAUGCAAAUUGAGUCGGUAAGAUGAGGAUAAAGGUGCUCAGGUCAUCUUAGGUCUUGCGCUUGAGAGACACACUUGCACACACGAACUUCUGGAAAGUUUCUUCUCUGCCAGGGUGAGCCGGUAGUACCAGCCCUCAGUGCCGGUGGUACCGGCAGUGCCAGCUCUUCUCCUGAGUUUUGCGAGAAAUUGAACUACCGGUAGUACCGGGCUUUGACCGGUGGUACCGGCUACCGCCGGUAGUACCGGUGAAACGCCGGUAGUACCGGCAGGCAAAAAUCCCGCAGAACUCAUGUUUUGCAAGAUUUUGCACUGCUGGUGGUACCGGCCUUCAACCGGUAGUACUGGCGCUGGCCGGUAGUACCGGUAGGCCUUUUUCUCGCAUCUUUCUCAGCUUUCUCACGUUUAGAUCUGGGGGCGCCGGUGGUACCGGUUUUUGCACCGGUAGUACCGGCCAGUGUUCUGUACUCUAGUAUAAAUAGCUCUUCCCUCUUUUCUAACCGUUAGCUUGCUCAUUCUUGCUACUCCAACUUUGAGAAAACAGUCUCCAAGCUUUGUCUCACCCACUCUCUCUCUCCCUCUUGCUCCUAGACUUCAUUUCUUGAGAGAUUCGAGCUAGAGAAGUGAGAUUAGAGAGUUGGGAGCAUCGAUCUGCGACUUGAGCACUCCGUUCCUCGUCUUGCCGGUUUGGUUUGCAUUUGUUACUCUUGGGUUCUUGGAACCCUAGCCGGCUAGGCGUUCUUCGUGGUUGCCCGUGUUGAUUCAUUUGUGAGGGCACCCCGAAGUGUUUGUAUUACCCCUUGAUUCUUAGUGGAAACAUCAAGCCAACCUUUGUGGUUGCUUGAGGAGGAGACCUAAGUGGUCAGACCUUCGUGGUCACCUCAACAACGGGGACGUAGGUACUCCUUAGUGGAGAUUGCCGAACCUCGGGAAAAAUACCUUGUCUUGCUGUGGAGGUAGCUUCGACUACCCUUGCUUGUGUUCUUUGUGUUCCUAUCUCUCUCCCUUCUUUCAACAGGUAAACAAAGGUCGAUCUACGUUUUGGUGAAGGAUUGAGCUAAGGGAACUCCAACAACAUCCUCCUCUAUGCUUAGGAAAGUGGGGUAAAACUCAGAUCUGAAAUCUAAGCACUUUAUACUCAGAUUUCGUAGCUGUCUUAGGAAGUCGGUAGUACCAGCAGUUUGCGUCGGUAGUACUGGCUGUGUGACACCAGUAGUACCGGCCCAAACUGUCGGUGGUACCGACAGGCAUUUGACUUCCGCAACUUGAGUUUUUGAGUUUCAGGUUUUUAAGAUACGCCUAUUCACCCCCCCUCUAGGCCAAUUAGAUCCUUUCAGGCGCCGUAGUGGCGGAGAGGAGAAGCCGCCGAGGUAGGGAAGGACGCCAAGGGUAGGGACGGAGACGCCGUAGAUCAAAGCUCGCCCCAGGCUCCGGUGGCAAGCGAGACGGGGGCGACGGCUACGGUGGACGGAGGCGAGUGUGAGCUCCGGUAGCGCGCGGUGAGUGCGAGGUGGCAUGGAGGCUAAGGAGAUGGCGAGGGAGAAGGUGGGGGAUGAGAGUGCAGAGUGCCGGUGGCAGUAGGACACCAAUGGCGAGGUCCAUAGCAGCCGCGUAAGGUGAGGGCAGCGGCGGCAUGGCACUAGGGGCUUCGGCGCUCGGCUCCGGCGGCGCUCUGUUCCAUUGCGGAAUAAGAAAGAGAGAGCAAAGGGAGAAGAUUUAGGGAAAAGGAAGAAGAAGAGGAAAAGGAAAGGAGGGAGAAGGGCAGACCCGAAGGGAUGGAUUGCGCGACGAGGCAGAGGCCGGGCACUCACAGCGGGACCUCGGCAAGACCGCAUUGUUUGUUUGCUGAUAAACCAUGACAGAAAAUACUAGCUGAUUUAUUAUGAGAAAAAAACAUCGUUCAAUAACUGACACCUGAUAAGCCCAAACUCCACCGCGGCCGUAGUGUCAGAGAUGGAGAUGGGCGUGACACUUUUUGUCUUCGCUGUUGGAAGAGGCAAGUUUUAGGCCUUGUUUAGUUCGCAAAAUUUUUCGUUUUUAGAUACUGUAGCACUUUCGUUUUUAUUUGACAAACAUUGUCCAAACAAAGAGUAACUAGACUCAAAAGAUUCAUCUCACAAAUUACAGGUAAACUGUGUAAUUAGUUUUUAUUUUCAUCUAUAUUUAAUGCUUCAUGCAUGAGACCAAAGAUUCGAUGUGACGAAGAAUUUUGAAAAUUUUUGAGAACUAAACAAUCCAAAAACUUUUUGGAUUUUGACACUGUAGCAUUUUUGUUUUUAUUUGACAAACAUUGUCCAAUCAUAGAGUAACUAGGCUUAAAAGAUUCAUCUUGCGAUUUACAGACAAACUGUGUAAUUAGUUUUUAUUUUUAUCUAUAUUUAAUGCUUCAUGUAUGUACCGUAAGAUUCGAUGUGAUGGGAAAUCUUGUAAAGUUUUGGGUUUUUGGGUGUAUCUAAACAAGGCCUUAGGUGCUUGAUCUUUUCACUGCUGGCGCCGCCGUCGUGGUCCGCGCCGAUUAGUGCGAUCUCCGCCUCCGUGUGCCGUGCCGACGAGGGCUGAGCUCCGGAGUAGCACCAGCAGCACCGUCGAGUCCUUCAGCGAUGACGUGUCGUGCAGGCCAUGCCGCUCCUGCCGUCGCUCGAUCGAGCUCGACAUGUUCCACCGCGCGGCGGCCGCGGGCACGGGCGGUGGUGGCAUAUGCCUCGCUUUCAACAGCCACGGGCCGCUGCGGAUCCUGCUAGCCGGCGCAUUCGUCGCGGCUCCCAGCUUUCAUGUGAAGAUGGCCGUAUUAACGAAAAUGACAUUGAAUGAUUGGAAUAUGCUUCUAAAAUAUAUUUUUUAGUGAAUUAUUAGAAACUCCUGGAGAUGGACUUAUUUAUUCAUUCUAAUACUUUUUUAAAAGUCGGAAACCAUCAAGUUUAAGAUACUCUUAGAGAUACUCUUACAACAGGAUUUCAGAUAGCAUCAAGUUGUACACAGUCGUAGUGCCGUAUUACAAGUUUUUACACUCAAUUGAUUUAGGACGUCAAACAAAUGCACACACAGAUUUGUAUGGAUGUGAUUAUAGCACAUGAUUCCUUAUUUCCUUAUGUUUUAUAGUUGGGCAAUGCUACAAUACGACUGCGCACGCCCAAGAGCCUUCGUCAGGAUGUCAGCGAGUUGCUCCUGAGUCCUCGCAUAAUCCACGCAGAUCUUCCCAGUAUUCACACAAUCACGAAUGAAAUGAAAUUUUGUAUCUAUAUGCUUACUUCGAUCAUGUAGAACGGGAUUCUUGCUUAGGGCGAUUGCAGACUGAUUGUCCAUCUUCAACACGGGCUGCUGAACCUGUUCAGCACCUUGUAGUCCCUGAAGGAUGAACAAAGUUAGCUGCGGCCUAUACAAGCUGAAAGGGAAGGCUUCACGAGUGGUAGGGAGAGGUAGCGCUCCCGCCGGAUCCUCUCCACGUGCUCCCGCGGCGUCGCCGGCGGCGGCAUCGCCGAGGACGUCGACAUUCUGGCGGUUCGGAUGGCUGCUUCUUCCUUCAAUCUUCGCCCGGGCAGAGUGGUGGAGGCUGAGAUCUUUCGUCGCUAUGGAUCUCCGGUUAACUCUGUACCUUCGUUUUCUUCUAAAGAAUUCUUCAUGGUCCUUUCCGUUGGUCGCUGCAAGUUUCGCCUCUCUGCUUCUCUGGUUGAGUCCCUUCUGCAGUCGGUUCUUGGAGGUUCAGCUGCUGCUUUUCGAGUGUCUCAACUGGAUGUUAGAGUAUUUCAUUUUUCAGUGGCUAAUCAGCAGGUUGGCUUUCAUAUCCAUCGUCUUCGAGCUUUUGAAUGCCAGGAUUUCAAGAUCUACUUCCAUCUCUGGCACAAUGGCGGGCCCAAUUUUCGAGCUGAAUACAAGAAUUGGUGCCGAGAACAAGCAGCAGAAUGGAUUGAGGUUUCUCGCCGCAAAUCGAUACGUCUAACAGGUGCCAAUGCUAUUCCUCUUCUUGCUUCAAGAUGUAGUCUUCCUGCUUCGAGCUCCAAAUCCAUGGAGUUUUCGAAUUUCUAAAAACCUCUUAAUUGUGCCGUUAAGUCUGUUUUUAAGAGAGGCGCCAUCCUUGGAAUUAAAAGAGGCGCCAUCCAUGGAACUCAAAAAAAUGCUUCUUUUUUGGAAGCCGGCAUUUUGGGGCCGAUCUCAGAUCCCCAGCGCAUCCACAAAUCCCUUGGGCCUUUGUUGACUCUGUGCUCUUUCUGUUUAUCUCCGGCCCACUCGCGGCCUGGCUGUAAAAACAUUAGGCGCUGCCGGAUUUGCCUCCUUGCCGGCCACGAUUCUGGACAGUGCCGUUUAGUGCCCAGACCCGCGCCAUUUCCUUCUAUUCGGAGAGUCGCUUCAACUUCUCGUGUCCAACGUCCCUCGACGUCGCUGAUCAGUGGGCCUCCCCUCUCUCGUGACCCCAAAUUAUACAGGUCGGUCAUAGAGUUUAUUAGCGAAUUUUCUGGCAUUCACUCGCCUCCCUCUCCUAUUGUCAUUCCCUGGAAGCUGUCGUGGCGACUCCGGGCGCCGGAGUUCAUCGACGACGUCGACGAGGAAUCAGCUUCCUCCCCGUUUUCUUCUAGGUCAGUGCUUCCCCUUUCUUCCCUUAGAGAACAUGCCUGGCUCUCUUCUCACCUUAUUCCUCCCUCGGUCCACAUUUCUUGGUUUCUAAAAACCCCGCUUUCUGCUACAGUAAACCCCAAUCAAGGUGCAAUGGCAUAUCGAUUUGUUGAUCCAGCUCCUUUUAUGCCCACCUGGGGACAGAGAGUUUUGGUGCCGGGUAGACCUACAAUGCGUCGAGUGGUUACUGGUGCUCUAAAGCAUGUCAACAAUGAUCUUGCCAUUGCUUUUAUCAACCCGUUGCCGCAGGCUCAGUUAGAAUUCCCUGCUAUUCGUGCAACAUUAGCUGAAUUUCUCAAUGUUGAAAUGGGCAUCCCAUAUUAUUCGAUUCAGCCUUGUCCUUUUGGGCAGGCCUAUGUAACUUUCAGUCGGGUUUCACACAGAGAUGCUAUGAUCAGUAAUGGCCCCCAUGUCUUUGGUAACACUCAGAUUUCCUUCAUCCCCCAUGACAAGGCUUGGAAUAAUAGGACUGCUAUCUUUACUCAUGAAGCUUGGUUAAUGAUGCUUGGUCUUAAUAUUGAUGCCUGGUCCUAUACUCUGGUUGAAAAGGUUGUUUCCAGCUUUGGAAAGCUCAUUGUCUGGGAAGAGGAUCAUAACAAUAUGGCUAGAGCUCUGGUCAAGGUUAGAGUUUCUGGUUUAGAUGAGAUCCCGUGGUUUUUCAACUUUUCAGAAGGGGAAACUUCUGAGUCCGAUAGCUGGACAGUGCAGUGUGAGAUUAUCUCAGCGACAAUGUUAGGUGCACAAGCUCAGGAUGAAGACUUCCCUCCAGAUGAUCCAGAGGAUCUUGAUCCCAACGACUUUGAGUUCUUUGGUUAUGGUCAACCAGGACAAGGUCCACCCCCGCCUCCUUUUGGUAAUGGUAAUGCUGGUAAUGGUAAUGCUGAGGGCUGGGUUCCUUGGAAUCAGCCAAGUGCAAACAACAAUAUGGCUCAGCACCCCAAUCCUAAUCAGGAUGAGGCUCCACCUCUUAUUCCCCUGCAACAGGUGCUGCUGGACCAUGGUAAUAAUAAUAUUAAUGAGAUUGGCAACAAUGAGAAUGGUGUCCUUGAGGAAGAAGUCAUACAAGUCAAUAAUCCUGCUGCUGUCGACCAACCUGACAUUUCUGAUCAAGUGAUAGCCAUGGAUGAUGGCAUAGACACAGACUCCGACAUCCACCCACAAGCACAACUUCCUAUUCCCCCAGUGGAGAUUGUGGCCUUUCCUGAUUUCAACAAUCUCCAACCUCUCAUGCCAGAGGAAAUUCAAGAGGAAGAUUUGAUAGACUGGUUAGACAUGAACCUUGAGCUAGAGGCUCCACCAAAUAAUCAGGCUUUGGAUCUGCACUCACCUGAAGAUGCUCAACAUGAAGUUCCUGCUUUGGAUCUGCAGAUACCUGAAAAUGUUCAGCAAGCUCCUUUGGCGCCAAUACAACAGGGUGGCAGUCCUAUUUUGAAUCAACCUCUGAUGGAGAACCCUGACCCAGACCAGGUGCAUCUAGGCUUUGUCCACACUUUCUUCCCACCUUUAGUUCCUGACUUGCUUCACCAGCAGGCAAAAAUGGGCCCUCUGGACAAGCACACCUCCCUGGAACUUGAGCUUUCAGAUUCUAGUGGCUCAUCUACUCUCAGCCCAAGCCCAAUGGUCAUCAGAUGCUGGGCUAAAUACUUUGCCAGCUUAGACAGCAGCCUUCCAAGGGUUACAGUUCCAUCGCAGUGGGUGGAUUUCUUCACUCUCAUGCUGCUUAAACAAGGUUCUUAUGAGUGGGCUAAGGAAUUUCUUCAAUCUGAAGCUUGGACUUCUCUUCAGAACUUCUCUGGUAAUAUUAAAUCUUUAUCCUUCUCUUUACCUCCCACAAAACCCUCUGUGGUCAUCUCUGAUAUCACCUGUUCCUCCAUGACAGAUCACUCCGGACAGUUUGCUGAUUCCUCCGAAAAUGACUCCGACCAAAUCCUUUUUGAUGAAAACAAAGCUACACCCCCCCAGCUCCUUCAAUCUGCAAGACGCCACCUAAAGGAAAGAGAGGUAAAAAAACCUACAUCUCAGAAGCUGAUUUAAGACGCAGUGAUCGAAUCCAUAAACAAUCUAAAGGUUUUAAAUCUUCUAUCUGCAAGGAUAGAAAUUGCUUAGGAUGCUCACCUAAUCCUCCGGUUCUUUCUCCGUCUGUAGUGCGGGACCUUAGAACUGCUUUCUGCAGCAUUGAAGCUGCAAAACUCUCAGACGACCUGCUUACUGCCAAGAACAACAAAGCUGCAGUACAGAAACCUACCUCCAAGAAGUUAAGGUUAGCAAAGGAGAUGGAUCAGGGACCAUCUAAGAAGCCUACUACUAAAGCUAAGAAAGGAAAGAAAUCAGCCACAGAAACGGCUGAUGAGGACUCUGAAGCUGGAGCUUCUUCACAAUCCAAGAACUGAUGUUGUCACAGUUCCUCCAUCCGUUUUUAUGCUUUUGUCAUAAUGCAAGUUAGAAAAUGGAAUGUUUUGUCCUGGAAUAUCAGGGGGAUAAACUCAGACAUAAAAUGGAAUGCUAUCCGUGACAGGCUUUGUGCCAAUAACUGUGAUAUUUUGUGCUUACAAGAAACUAAACGUGAUAACUUUGAUCCUUCCUACCUUCGUAAUUUUUGUCUUCCUUCCUUUGAUGAUUUCGUUUUUUUACCCUCUGUUGGAGCGUCUGGGGGUUCCAUUAUCGUUUGGAACAGUGCUAUUUUGUCUGGCAAUAUGAUCUUUCAGAAUGCCUAUUCAGUUUCCAUCGAGUUUACAUCCCUUCAUACGAAUGCAACCUGGAUUCUGACUAAUAUCUAUGCCCCUUGCACCCCCCAAGGCAAAAGAGAGUUCCUACGGUGGUUUAAACACAUCCAAAUGCCUGACCAUGUUGACUAGCUCAUAGUUGGGGAUUUCAAUCUCUAUCGUAGUCCUACAGAUAGGAAUAGAGAUGGUGCUGAUCAUGCAGAAAUCUAUCUGUUCAAUGAGGCUAUCAGUGCUCUAGGUCUGAUUGAGUUACCUUUAAAAGGAAAACGUUUUACUUGGUCCAAUAAACAAAACCCACCUCUGUUGGAGCGUCUUGACUGGUUUUUUACCUCAGCUACCUGGACUAUUAAUUACCCUUCUACCAAUGCCUCUACUCUAACUGCUGAAACUUCAGAUCAUGUUCCUUGCCUCAUUUCUAUCUCCACUGCUAUCCCCAAAACUCAUAUUUUCAGGUUUGAAAACUAUUGGUUACAACGUGAUGAUUUCAUCGAUCAGGUUACUCUGGGCUGGACCACGAAAUCCCAUCAUUUGGAUGCUGCUAAACUGUUAACUUCCAAAUUUAAAAACUUGAGAAAGGUGUUGAAAAUUUGGAAAUUGUCUCUCUCUAACUUAAAGCAAAAUAUUUCGCAUGUCAAGCUCGUGCUGGAUUUUCUUAAUUUGAUAGAAGAUUUCAGAGAUCUUUCGCUUGUAGAAUGGAAUUUUCGUUCCAUUUUGGAAGACAAACUUAUUUCCUUGCUUCAACAACAAAAAUCAUACUGGAAACAAAGGGGAACAGUCAAAUGGGUAACUCUUGGGGAUGCCAAUACAAGAUUUUUUCAUGCAAAUGCUACUGUUAAGCAUAGGCGCAGUCUUAUUACUCAUCUAGUCAAUGACCAAGGACAAUCUCUUUUCAAUCAUGAGGAUAAAGCUAAUCUCAUUUGGAUUUCCUUUAAGGAGAGACUGGGCACUUCCAACUUCUCACACGUUCACCUGGACUUGCCAAAUCUGUUAGAGAAUACUGUGGAUCUUUCAAGCCUGAUUCAGCCCUUUUCACAUGAAGAAAUUGAUGCAGUAGUGAAGCACCUCCCUUGUGACAAAUCCCCAGGACCAGAUGGUUUUAAUACUGACUUCCUGAAGAAAUGCUGGACCCUAAUAUGUCAGGACUUCUAUGAUCUUUGUCAAGCUUUUUACUCUGAAAAUCUCUGUCUGCAAAGUAUCAAUAGUUCUUACAUAACCCUGAUCCCCAAGAAAGAUGAUCCUUCAAUGGUUUCUGAUUUCAGACCCAUCUCUUUGCUCAAUAAUUCAGUUAAACUCAUAACAAAAUUACUGGCCAACAGAUUACAAUCUGUGAUCCCUUCGUUGAUUCAUAAAAAUCAAUAUGGUUUUAUUAAGAAUAGAACCAUUCAAGACUGUGUUGCCUGGGCCUUGGAAUAUUUGCAUAUGUGUCACCAAUCAAAGAAAGAAAUCAUUAUUCUCAAGUUGGACUUUGAAAAAGCUUUUGACAAAGUGGAACACGGCCUAAUGUUACAUAUAAUGGAACAUAAAGGUUUUCCCACAAAAUGGAUUAAUUGGAUGAAGUUAAUCUUCACAUCUGGAACCUCUUCUGUCCUUCUCAAUGGGAUCCCAGGUAAAGUGUUCCAUUGCAGAAGGGGGGUCAGACAAGGUGACCCUUUAUCACCUUUGCUCUUUGUCCUAGCAGCUGAUGUGCUUCAAUCAGUCCUCAAUCUUGCCUGUGCUAAUAGUAGACUGGCUUUACCCUUAUCUCUAGAGCAUGAUACUGAUUUUCCAAUCCUCCAAUAUGCUGAUGAUACUCUCAUCUUCAUGCAAGGGGAUGUAUCUCAGCUACAACACCUUAAAGACAUCUUACAUGUUUUUGGAGAAUCUUCUGGAUUGAAAGUAAACUUUGACAAAUCCUUCAUGGUUCCUAUCAACAUUUCUAAUGAAAGGUUGGACAUCCUGACAGAGGUCUUGGGCUGCAAUAAACAAACUUUGCCCUUCACCUAUCUGGGUCUUCCACUUAGUAUUGCCAAACCCUCGGUUGCUCAUUUCUGGCCUCUUGUCUCCAAAUGUGAAAGGAGACUAGUAAAUUUUUCUUCCCUGCUCUCUGAGGCUGGCAGUUUGCAAUUAACAAAUGUUGUUCUUUCUGCUCUACCAACUUUUGCUAUGUGUACCUUUUUGAUUCCCAAGAUAGUUCUUAAGCAGAUUGACAAGUUUAGGAAGCACUGUCUUUCGAGAGGAUCCAACUUGAAUUGUAAGAAGCCAUCAAAAGCUGCCUGGCCCUUGGUUUGUAGACCAAAAAUUGAAGGGGGUCUUGGAGUGCUUGAUCUUCAAAUUCACAAUGAGAGUUUACUCAUGAAGUUUUUGCAUAAAUUCUUCAAUAAGCUGGCUAUCCCUUGGGUUCAUUUGGUCUGGGAACACUACUACUCCAGGAAUAAUUUGCCUUCUCUGCAUAGACCCUUUAGAGGCUCCUUUUGGUGGAGGGACAUUUUAAAACUGCUGCAUUCCUACAAAGAGGUGGCUUCGAUUCAUAUUCAGAAUGGUUCUACCUGCUUCAUGUGGCUUGACAACUGGAAUGGUACUCAACUUAAUCAAAGGUUUCCUGAGCUCUUCUCGUAUGCUAAAUCUCAACAGAUCACUCUAAACACUGCUGUCUCUUCCAUCCCUCUUGAGGAGCUUUUCCAUCUUCCUCUUUCGGUUGAAGCUUUUCAGCAAUUUCAAGAUCUUUCUACUGCUCUGCAGACCUUACAUCUCAGUCAGGAUAAUGAUGUUUGGUCCUAUCGUUGGGGCUCUACUCAUUUUUCUUCCAAGCAGGUGUACAAACAUAUGGUUGGACAUAGUCAGAUUCAUUCUUCUUUCAGAUGGCUUUGGACCUCUUGCUGUCAAAACAAAAGGAAAAUUUUCUUCUGGCUAAUCCUAUGUGACAGAUUAAGCACUCGAGCACUUCUCAGAAGGAAAGGGAUGUUUCUUCAAGAUUAUAAUUGUGUCUGCUGUUCCCUCAACCUGGAAGAAGAUAUACUGCAUCUAUUUUUUCACUGCCCUUUUGCAAUGGCCUGUUGGUACAGUUUACAAGUCUUCAUACCAAACUCGGAUGACAUUGCAAUCAUUCUGGAAAGUCUUAAGACUCAGCUGGGAGUUCUUUUUUUAUGGAGAUCAUCAUUACUAUGUGUUGGUCCAUCUGGAUGAUGAGAAAUGACAUUAUCUUCAGGAAUAUGGCACAUACAAUUCGAAGAUGCAAAGCGGUCUUUCAGAAGGAGUUUGCUCUAGUUAUCCUACGAGCAAAAGCAAGAUAUCACCCAUCAAUAGAUUUAUGGCUAGACAAUCUUGUGUAAUCCUUUUUAUUUUUUUCGUUUCCUUUUUUGUACCUUAAUGUUUGUACUCGGCGCUUCUCUUUUAAAGUUUUAAUAAAAUCACAGUAGGGGCAGAGCCCCUCCUGUUUUCCUCAAAAAAAAUGCUACAAUACAUUCUUUAUUUCUUACGAGGUAAUACCUUAAAAGAAUCUGAGCCUUUGAUUUUUUUUAUUUUUAAAAUUAAUUAGUUAACUUAAGAAAAGAGAAAAAAAAACUCAGCAAGGGAGAGACAUGAGUGGGCGCAUGCCCUUUCCUUGUUUGUUUCAUGACGUGUGCAGCUCUCCAUGCAUGCAAUAUUAUUUUAUUUGCAAAAUUUAGACCAAUGCAAAUAAAAACUAAUACUAAACAUGAAUACGUGAUAAAAUUUAUCACGCACCUUGUAUUUUGUAUUAUUUUGUUUGAUAAAUUUAGACCAAUGCAAAAAAAAGCUAAUUCACGUAAUAAAAGUUGUCAUGCACCUCGUAUUUGGUAUUGUUUUGUUUGAAAAAUUAAGGCCAAAGCAAAGAACACAUAUUUUCUUUUGAUCACUUUAUAAAAAGUCACAUUAAAUCAUGAUGUCGUAUACAACUAUGUCUAUUCCACGUUGUGUCACAUUUAAAACAAUUAUUGCUAACUCCAUCGUGCCAAAAAAAACUUUUCAAAAAGAAGUAGACAACAUAUUUGGACACUUCAUUUUCUUCCAAAAUUAAAAACAAUUAAAUAUAGUUUAAUUAUUACCUCCUAUAAAGUAAUAUGUGGUAAAAAAACAAUCAGAUCAACGAUUCACAGUAAUUUGGAUGUACCGUAACAAAAGCCUUUAUAGUUUCAAGAGUUUGUAGGAUCGUACAGACUGAGUUAAUUUGUUCUAUUACUCAAAGUAGAAAUCCUUUGUGAUCAUCGAGUAGAUAGAUCGGACAGCUCACUAAAUAUAGAGCAGUGGAAGUUGAUAUGUCAAACCUCAAGAUCCAUCUUCAUGCAUAUAAGCUUGAUGGAUUGCCACGGGCUAUUAUCUCUAACCGAGACAGAGUUUUCACCACCCUAGCAUGGCAAGAACUGUUCCUCUUGUCAGACACUAAAUUGAUGAUGAGCUCUUCAUAUCACCAGUGCGGAUAUAAGCCUAGGGCCAAUAUGGCCAUGGUCCUAGGUGUGAGAAAAAACACUAGAAUAUUCCCUUUGUUUUUUCCAGCUAAAUAUAUAUUAGCAUUACUUUUUCGAUGUUGAUGGUUCAUAGUAUUAGCUUUAGUCGUGAAAGUUCCCAGCUCCACCACUGCAUAUCACCCUCAAAUGAAUGACCAAACGGAGCAGCUUAAUUAGUGUGUGGAAGGAUUUCUUCGCUGCACAGUUCAUUCUUGUGAUCCUAACCACAACAAUGGAGUAAAUGGAUUUCCAUGGCAAAAUUUUGGUACAAAACAUCACGUAUUCCACCUUGGGAAAAGCUCCGGCAGACAAACACACAACUGAAAGAGUUCUAGGAAGGACAUUUGAUAUUCCUAACCUGCAGUCCACCGUAGCAUCUUGCACGAAUUAGGAGCUCUCUUUCUGUUUUUAAGGUCCGUUCAAAAUUCUCCAGCGCGUGGGAAAAGUGGCCUACAGGAUGGUCCGUCCACCACGGGCCAAGAUCCACCUGAUGGUGCACAUCUCACAUCGUAAUAUGCAUGUGCCUACUACUUCUUCAGUAAGUUCAGACCUCUCUAUAUGAAUGCAUGGUCCCUUGCAAGACUAUCAGCCCAUUAUCAUUUGUGAUUUUAGCACAAACAUUUUCACUGUUUUUUAUAAGCUAUUACCUCCAUUUCCAAAAGAUGCAAUUCUAGGUCCAAUUAACAUCAAUCUAUCUUUUACAAAAACUAGUAUCAACAUAUGUAAACCAAAAUAAAUUGCUAUAAAAAUAUAUUUCAUAACGAAUCUACUAAUAAAUAUGGGUAUGAUAAAUAGUAUUAAUCUUUUAUAUAAAUUUAGUUGAACUUUAAAUUGUAUGACUUAGUAUUUUUAUAGAAUUAUAUCCGUCCUGAGAAGAAAAGAAUAUUUUUAUAGACAUGAGAAAAUCCCAUGCCAACUGUUUUUGUUUUAUUAUAGUGUCAUUUCCAACCGCCGAAUCAACAUAUCGGUGCAUUAUUCAGAAACUUGACCGGAUAGGUGAGCAAUUAGUGAAGCCGAACAACCACCCAAGUCCGCCAUUAUGAUGGACUACUACGGAUGUUUGGGACUGAUUGGCUCUAUAUAUACAUUUAGCUUCGCUAAAUGUAUUUUAGCCAAAUAGUUUAAACUUCAUACAUACUCUAUUUGAGAAAAAAUGGUGAAGUUAUGAAAACAUCUAAAUAAAUCUCUACAAACUCUAGUUUCUAACACCUCCUACAUCGACCUCUAAAUUUCAUAUCAACUGUUUUUGUUUUACUCGAGGGACUGCUACAUCGACCUCUAUCCAUCAAUCAAAGUAUUAAACUUUGGUUUUCAAAAAUAAAAUAUGUCCUAGAUCGAUGGAUAGAGGAAGUAUACGUAUAGCAUCAAUAUUUCAAAUUGUGAGAAAUAUUUCCAUAAUAUGGUUAUUUUCAAAAAAAAUUAUUAUAAUAUCUUUCAUAAGUAAAUAAUGGUUAAAAUCACAUAUUGGAGACUAGUGUGUAGAUGGGCUAAACCUACAAAGAAUAAUUGUUGAAAUUUUUUGGUAAUACAAAACUGAAACAAUACAGGUAAAGAAAUAUCUGCCAAUCCUAUGGCUACUCGUGACACUAAUUAACUAGCAUAUCAAUGAUGAAAAGUAACUCCUCUGGCCUUACAACAUCUCCAAUAGUUCCAAAAAAGUAAUAGGGUAAACCAAUGAGUUUUCCAAGUGGCUAAAAAAAGUUGAGAGAUAUUUGUUGGGUUGCUCCAACAAUUCCAAAUAUCUCGGUCCUAAAAUAUACUAAGAUAAUUUUACAUAAGGAAUCUCGAACUGUUUCUAAAUUACUCUAACUAUUUCUAUAUUUUUUCCUCUCUUAUGUAUUUGCAUCAGGCUAUGUCGUAAUCUUCUUUCUUCUUCACAUCGUUUCACCUUUGUAUUGGCUGAUGCAUACCUGUGCGCUGUGCGAUUGGGUCAAGUUUCCCAAGUGUGGAAGGAUUGUGAGUUGAGAUACGGAGUUGUUGAACAGUGUUUUUUUUUCUUCAAUAUUGCUAAAAAAAAUCUAGAGUGAGGGGGAUUUAGAAACUCUUGGAGAUGCUCUAUAUCUGAUAACUUCACAACUAUGGAAUUUCAAUGCCAGAGCAUUCAAAAAGCUAAACCAAAGGAUAAACUAAAAGAAGCUCAGAAUUCUUGAAAGAAAAUAACAAAAUUGGGGGUCCACACUUCACAGUCCCAACCAAAUGAAUCAUCUAAUUUAAUUUACGUUAGAGCUAGCCUUAUCUUACUUAUAUUAGUCAGAAACUUGUCUUGUUGAUUGAGAAAACUUAGUAAAGGCCAACAACUAACCAACCCGAAAGCGAGCUUGCCGUGUCCUCAGCUGCGUGCAUAUAUCAUCACCGCCUGUGAAUGAGCGUGCAUCCCAUACGAAUCCGUUAGCAUGAGUCUCCUUCGCAGCAUCUAUUGCUCACCCCUUUCGUUUUUCUUGAUCGCACUGGUCAUCACCAGUAGCAGCCGUAGUGCUACCAGCACCGGUAGCACUUCAGGAACCAGAAGAUACAAUGCCAUGUUCAGCUUCGGAGAUUCAGUUGCCGAAACCGGGAACAUCUGCAUCGUCAGCAGCAACAACUCGACGGAGCUCAAUGUCCUCACCUGCACGCAUCCGCCGUACGGCAUGACCUACUUCGGCAAGCCGUCUUGCCGGUGGAGCAACGGUCGCACGGUCGUUGACUUGAUCGGUAGAUACAUUCUCUUUGUCCCAAAAUAAUUAUCGUUUUAGAUUUUCGUGUCGCAAGAUUGAUUAGAUUUAUAAAAAAAACGUGCAACAUUUACAUCUCUAAGGGAGUACAUUCCCUUGUUUAUAAUUAAUUUCAUACUAUAACAAUAGCAUAUAUGCUAGUAAGACCUUGUUCAGAUCCCAUGAUCAACUUUAGACCACUUUACCUCCUAAAGCUUUUAACAGGAGGUUUAAAGUGCCAUCUAAAAUUUAGCAAACCACACGAAAACUUAUCACACAAAUGAGUGGUCAUAGACUGCACUCUUAAGUACUACAAUGGCUCAAACAAUUAUUUAAAACAUGAAACACCCCCCUAAGAUCACUGGUAAAGCUUGAAGUGAGAUCAAGGAUGGGGUCGAAGUACUACUCAAUAGUAUAUUAAUAUUUAAGCCUUAAUGGUUAUUUACUCCAACACUUUAGUUAAAGUAUGUAUAAAUAUAUCUAAAAUAACAAGUUACAUAAAUACAUCAUUGUUAUUAAUAUAAGUUAAAAUAAUUUGUUAGUAUCAUUAGUAUAUAAGUCGAUAAAGAAAUUUUUUAUAAUUGCUAAAAAUAACAUAUAUUUAUCACUCAUGCACAUGUGUAGUUGAUCAGCAUGAUGGUACAAUAUAUGUGUUUACUUUAAUCAAAUAAUAAUAAUAAUAAUAAUAAUAAUAAUAAUAAUAAUAAUAAUAAUAAUAAUAAUAAUAAUAAUAAUAAUAACAACAACAACAACAACAACAACAACAACAACAACAAACAACAAUAGGAGUGCGUAAUGUUGAAACAUAUAUAUUGAUUAUGAUUAUUUAAACAUUUAUAAUAGAAGAUAUUGAUAAUUUAGAUUUAUAUUUGAGGGGACAUUUCGGUUGUAUUAAUAAAAAUAAGUGGUAAUUUAGUUCUAAUUUAAGUGAUUACAAAGAUUAUCUAUUAGAACAGCUAGUGAGUAAUUAGAUGCUAAUUUAUAUUUACUUUAGAUCUUGUUUUUUAUUGGUAUGGAACUUUAUAUUUUUUACACAAUCACAUAAGUGGGUAAUUAUUUUAAAAAUGGAAUAAAUGCAAUGACUAUUAUUACCAAUGGUGUUUAGAGUCUACUAGAUUAGUGGAUAGUUCCAUGUUUCUAAUUUUUGCGAUAAUUUCUAUUGUUCUUCUUUUUUCUAGGGGGUCUCAUUAGCAUUAGUGUGGAGGCUCCAUUGAUCUUAUCUAGUUAGUAUUUCUUAGAUUUAUCCCUUUUCCCUAGCAUGGUAUGUAUUUAAUUAGUUAAAAACUAGCUUAAGUUAUACUCCUUUCAUCCUAUAAUUUAAGGGAUCCAAGCAAUUUUUGGACAAAAUAAAGAGCUAGGCAAAAGAACACCUUACCCGUCACUAAUUAUGAUGGAGGGAGUAGUCUAGUUGUUAUUUUUUCUUAAUUAAUCUAAUUAUUUUAGAUAACACUAAGUUUAAAAGAAAAUCUUAAUAUUCCCUGCCAGAAAGGAUAGAGGAGAGAGAUGGUUGAGGAUCCUAAAUGCCUUGUACUUUAGUAUAGUAUUUUAAACUCUUAAUCCCUUAUAUUAUAGGAUGUGUGGAGUAUAACCCUAGAUUACUUUGCAUUAUCUUUCAUAAUCAUAGUGCCGAGGGUGGAUAGUUUAUAAAAAUAUAUGGUUAUUUAAAAUUAUCUUUCACAAUGACAGAGAUGGUUAAAAGAUAUAUUUGUAUGUGAGCUUAGGGUUGGCGAUUGAAAUCCUGGAAGGCACAUAUUUUUUUGGUUUCUCCUGAGUUCUUCGGAAAUCAUCAAUAGAGACGGACAUCUUACUCUCUCUUAAUGAAAAACGGGUGAAUGACCCGAUCGCGAAAAAAAAAGAGACGGACAUCUUAAUGUAUCCGUCUCUAUAAAUAGUAUUAAUUGAGACGGGCAAAUUAAAAUACCUGCCUUUGAGAUCAUUUGAUAGAGAGGCUGUUGGCUUGCCCAUCUAUAUUAAUAGAAAAGACCCACCUCUAAGGUUCCUUGUACUAGUGAUGGCAGCUAUGAAAUGGGAAUAAUGGACUAAAAAGAAAUCUCUCGCUCAUUGAUAGAAAAAGGUCCAGAACUGAAUGUCCCAACCGAUUAAUGGGGUACCCAUUUUUAUUUCUUUGGGUAGAAGUUUGUUUUUGUGUUUUACUUUUACCACAUAAUGGCACAGCACAAUCGCUUGGACUCCCACUACUUACACCAUCGAAAUCCAAAGGCAAAGAUUUCCAAAAGGGUGCAAAUAUGGCCAUCACCGGUGGUACUGCGCUGAACUUCUCCUUCUACCAAUCAAUGGGCGUUGAAAAUCCAGUGUGGAACCAUGGCUCGCUAGACAUGCAAGUCCAGUGGUUCAAGGUGUUGACUGCUUCCAUAUGCGGGACAAAAGAGAGUGAGCACUUCAUCACUCCCUUCUUAAUGGAUUCCUCGCCUUCCCAUUAAAUUAGUACGCCAUUUCAAAUUAUAGUAUGUUUUGGCUUUUGUAAAUAUGUUAUUUUUAUCAUGUUUAAAUAUAAUGUAUAUCUAAAACUGCAUAGCAAAAGCCACUUAUCUAGAAAAGGCAAAACAUCUUAUUAUUUGGAAUAGAGGGAAUUCAUUUUUGUUGUAGCUAUCUGCAGUAUUUUAUUUGUAUAGAUUUAAUGCAAUAUAAUUCAGCUGCGGCUUGUGUAUAUAUCGUACUAGAGUGCACAGGGUUUCUAGCAGAAUCGCUGUUUCAGUUCGGUGGAUUUGGAGGAAACGACUAUAAUAUCUUGCUUCUUGAGCUUGGGCUGACCGUUGAACAGGCAAUGGAGAACACCCCAUUGAUUGUCGAUGCCAUCGUUAACGGUAUUGAGGUAAAUAUAUCUUCUUUUCAAGAGUUCAAGACCGAUGCCCUGUCCUUAUAAGCGUUUAAGCAUUCAUUACAAUCAUGACCACCACACCAUGUGGUAACAAAACCGGUAAUAUACUCCCUCCGUCCAUGAAAAAAUCAAUUUCUAGUGUUGUCCUAAGUCAAACUUUUUAAACUUUGACUAAAUUUCUGGAAAAAAAAUGCUGAGAUUUUACUGUAUCAAAUUAGUAUCGUUAGAUUCAUCAUAGAAUAUAUUUUCAUAUAAUGCGUAUUUUAUGUCAUAAAUAUUGUUACUCUUUUCUAUAAAGUUAGUCAAACUUAAAAAAGUUUGACUGACACGGAUUCUACAAAUUGAUUCUUUCGUGGACGGAGGGAGUAUAAUACAUCCACAUUGUGAGGCUGUUUGGACCCUUUUAAUUUAAAUCUACUUAAUAGAUUAGGCUAUGACUUGGAAUUUCACAACUUUCAAAAUUCACAUAUGAGCCAUCUCAAAUUCAUGACCAUGCUAUGUUUAUACUUUACAACUUAUAACGUGCUCUUUAACUCGUUCUCCUAUUGUACAAAUACAACACAUAAGUCUCUCUCUCUCGCAUGGCCUAUAAUAAUAUACAAAUAUAUUCCAUAUACUAAUUAAAUCUAUAUCUAAAUUGUAAUUGUUCAAAUAAACUUAAUUCCAAGAAUUAAUCCAAACAGAGAAAUUACUCAUAAGCUAUAUUUGUCAUUUGGUGCAGAGGCUGAUUGCACUUGGUGCUGUUCACAUUGUUGUCCCGGGCAUUCUUCCAACGGGCUGUCUCCCACUCUUCUUGACAUUGUUUACUAUUAGUGUUUCCUCAACCUCAAGCGACACAGACUUCGAUCAGCACGGCUGCUUGAAAAGUUUGAACCGUCUGACAGAGUACCAUAACUCCAUGCUUCAGAAACAAGUACAAAUACUCCAAGCCAAGCAUAGGUCAACAAGGAUGAUGUACGCAGACUACUCCUCCCUGGUGUACAAAAUGGUGCAACAGCCUCAAGAGUUUGGUAUGUAUUUCUCUUUAUUUUAUAUUUUAAUUAAUAAAAUAGGUUCCAAGAUCGCAAGAAAGGAUCGUUGCAGAUAGGAGGAAAUUAGACUACCACUGAUCGAUUUCUGUCGUGGAUUUAUGUAUUAGGAUUCAGAAAUCCUUUGGAAACGUGCUGCGGGGCAGGAGGCAAGUACAACUUCGACGUCGCCGCCAGAUGCGGCAUGCCCGGCGCAACAACACCUUGCCGCGACCCGUCGGCUCGCCUGAGCUGGGACGGCGUCCACCCGACGGAGGCGGCCAACAAGAUGAUCGCCGACGCCUGGCUCCACGGCCCCUACUGCAACCCACCUAUUUUAAGUUGAACAAAUCAUAUCAUAAAUAUGCAUGCAGACUCUCGACCGUAUGUCGUCUUAUCUUAAUAAGAACACGGUGACCUGUUGGCAUGUAGCAGUAGCAUCGUCUGUUUAUCAAGCUGGUCAAACCCCUGGACUUCAGCAAUACUCCCUCCGUCCCCGAAAAAAUCAAUUCCUAGAAUCCGUGCCAGUCAAACUUUUUAAAGUUUGACUAACUUUAUAGAAAAGAGUAACAACAUCUAUAAUAUAAAAUGCACAUUAUAUGAAAAUAUAUUCUAUGAUGAAUCUAAUAAUACUAAUUUGAUACUAUAAAUUUUAGCAUUUUUUCUAGAAAUUUGGUCAAAGUUUAAAAAGUUUGACUUAGGACAACUCUAGAAAUUGACUCUUUCGGGGACGGAGGGAGUAGGGUUGAAAGCAGUGAAGCUUUAAAAGGGGGUCCAAGUACAGUAGUGUCAGUCGUCCUUCAAUGUUUUAGGUGCGCGCUAUUUAUAUGUAAUGGUGCAAUUUAUAGUAAUCAGACCAUUUUAUCCGAAACCAUCGAGACUUAUCGGGGAAUCUCAUAGUACAAGGGGCAUAUAUAUGUCGUAGUUUUAAAAUUUCCCCCAUUUAAUUGAAACCAGUAGCAUCAAGUUUAUAUAUUCAGCCAAAUAAACAUACUGGUACACAGACGGAAGAAUCCUGCAUAUUCAGCUGAAUUCAGGCCCUGUUUGGAACAAAGGAAUAAAAAACAGAGGAUAGGAAAAAAACACAGGAACAGGAAAGACUUGUAAUGAGAAAACAGAGGAUUAUAAAAUAUAGGAAUUUUAUAAGAGUAGGUGUUUGGAACACAGGGAUGCUAAGAGCAAAGAAAACUGUAAGAGUAACUAAAACCAUAGUUUGUUUAUACUAAUGGUCAUAUUUUUCGUUUGCAGGCUUAGUAUAAUAUAAUUAUUAUAUAAGCAUAAUACGACGACAUCUAGGGGCGAAGCUACGUUGAAGACUGUGGGGGCACCUACUAAAAUUUGAAAAAUCACUAUUAAAAUUUUCAUCAUGGUUACAGAUUAAAUUUUCAUGACUAUAAGAGAAAGACACCUCCUCUAACUUGCUCUAGCUUCGCCCCUGACGACAUCGAGAUGGCAUCAACCGCCGCUCCAACCACGGUUGAUGGAGACACCACCACAAUCUGCUUGAAUAAUCCUUGGGUCCUUGCUCUUUCAAUUCGUCUCAACCAUAAACCGUGGGCCAUGGAUGUCAUGGGACAUAUCAUCCAUUAGACCAUUGCUAAGAAAAUUAGCUCCCCUUCCUCUCGUAAUGGAGCUGUUAGCUAGUCACAGUCAGCGUUUCAAUUCUGAUAACCGAUGCCGAGAUCCAUAGCUUCUACUUUAUUGCCUGUGAUAUUCAUUAUGUUAGCGGUAGCAACUAGCAAGAUGUGUGCAUGACAUACUUUGAUUGAAGCUGCAAGAGAUCCGCACUUGUUUCUCACCAUUUUCGACGUCGUAAAAUGCUAGUAGGAUGGAUUCUUCAGACUUGUUGCAAGAAUUAUUCAGUUUGGGAUGACAAGACAAGGUGCUUUGUGCUAGCAGCCGCGCGCCAGCCAGCUUCUAAAACUUUUAGGAAUAUGCUGUUAAUAGGCCAGUGUUACUUAUAUGCACUACAUUCUCAGCUCUCUCCGUUCAAAUUUACACUUCACUUUAGGCUUUGUUUAGUUUCCAAAAACUAUCUAAAAAUUUUCAAAAUUCUCCGUUACAUCGAAUCUUGCGGCACAUGCAUGGAACAUUAAAUAUAGAUAAAAAAACUAAUUGCACAGUUUGACCGUAAAUCACAAGAUGAAUCUUUUGAACUUAGUUAAUUACUCCAUAAUUGGACAAUGUUUGCCAAAUAAAAACGAAAGUGCUACAGGAGCUGAAAACAAAAAAUUUUGUGAACUGAACAAGGCCUUGAUCUAAGUCAUAUUUUUCUAAGAGUAAAAGACACUGGCGGCCCUUUAACUUGUCAGUCUGUGCCACUUUGGUCCAUGAACUUGCAAACCUGAAAAAGUGACCCCUGAACUUGUCCGUCUGUGCCACUUUGGUCCAUGAACUUGCAAACGCAAAACAGUGGCCCCUGAACUUGUCGGCCUGUGCCACUUUGGUCCAUAAACGUAUAAAGGCUCUUUCAACGCGUCAACAAAUAUUUAUUUAUUUCAUAACUAAUUAUUAAUGAAAUGCUAAAUUCAUGAAAUAUUUUGUGUAGCCUCUUCAUGCCUAGAAAAAAUAUGAAACCUAGAAAACGAAUAAUUUUUGCUUGUUUUAAAAUUAUCUCUUUUAAUUAAUAAAUGCAACGAAUUGAUAUAUUAUUCGAUACGUUACGAAUAUUUCAAUUUCGUAAAUUAAAAAAGAAGUGCUGACAUCAUCGCUGACGUCAGCAUCAUAAACGGUGCCAUGCAUGGCUUACCAGAGGCGGCCACGUGGCAGAACAGUGCCAUGCAGCCGGUGUUAUUUUCGUAUUUGUAUGUUCAUGGACCAAAGUGACACACGUCGACAAGUUCAGGGCGCAUUUUUUCGCGUUUGCAAGUUCAUGGACCAAAGUGGCACAUGCUGACAAGUCUAAGGGCCUCUUUUUCGCGUUUGCAAGUUCAUGGACCAAAGUGGCACAGAGCGACAAGUUAAAGGGCCGUCAGUGUAUUUUACUCUUUUUCUAGCAAAAAUAUAUGAGUAAAAUACACUGGCGGCCCUUUAACUUGUCAGCCUGUGCCACUUUAGUCCAUGAACUUGCAAACCCGAAAAAGUGACCCCUGAACUUGUCCGCAUGUGCCACUUUGGUCCAUAAACUUGCAAACGCAAAACAGUGGCCCUGAACUUGUCGGCCUGUGCCACUUUGGUCCAUGCGUGUAAAGGCUCUUUCAACGCGUCAACAAAUAUUUGUUUAUUUCAUAACUAAUUAUUAGUGAAAUGCUAAAUUCAUGAAAUGUUUUGUGUAGCCUCUUCAUGAUAUACUCUGCCUAGAAAAAAUAUGAAAUCUAGAAAACGAAUAUUUUUUUGCUUAUUUUAAAAUUAUCUCUUUUAAUUAAUAAAUGCAACGAAUUGAUAUAUUAGUUGAUAUAUUUGACGCUACGAAUAAAAAUAUAUCAAUUUCGUAAAUUAAAAAAAAGUGCUGACAUCAUCGCUGAUGUCAACACCAUAAACGGUGUCAUGCAUGGCGUACCUGAGGCGGCCACGUGGCAGAACAGUGCCAUGCAGGUGGUGUUAUUUUCGUAUUUGCAUGUUCAUGGACCAAGAUGGCAUAGGUCGACAAGUUCAGGGGGCACUUUUUCGUGUUUGCAAGUUCAUGGACCAAAGUGGCACAGGCUGACAAGUUAAAGGACCGCCAAUGUAUUUUACUCAAAAUAUAUUAACAUCCACAAGUUUAUUAAUUAAAUACAUUGUAAAGACAUAUUUCAUGGAGAAACUAAUGAAAUAAAUUGAUAUUGUAAAUAUUGAUAUAUUUUUUCAUUAAAUUAGUUAAAAUUUAGAAAAAACUGACUUAGAAGAAAGUAAAAGUGAACUAUAAUGUAGAACUGAUGAAGUAGAAUGUGGAAAAAUAUGUGGUGCAAACCACAUCUCAAAACAUGUACUUAAGUCAUUCAAAAAUAUUUAAAACUUGGUAUAUCCAUAUGUUGUUCAUCCAUAUAUGUGCUCGCAUAUAAAAGUUGAGAUGCAAACUUAAACUCAAGGUAAUGUAUGAUGAACUAAAGCUUGUUUAGCCUACGGCAUACACAUAAUCAGGUGAAACUAGUACGGGAAAUUCAUGCACUGUCUGAUAUCAUUUUACAUACCAUGAAAUUGUUUCCAAACUAUGAAACUCUUUCUAAUUUUAGCAUAAUACUCCCUCCGUCUCCAAAAGCUUCAACUCCUAGAAUCCGUGCCAGUCAAACUUUUCUAACUUUGACCAACUUUAUAGAAAAUAGUAUCAAUAUCUAUGACAUAAAAUAAGUAUCUUACGAAAAUAUAUUCUAUAAUAAAUUUAAUGGUAUUAAUUUGGUACUAUAAAUCUUAGCAUUUUUUCUAUAAAUUUGGUCAAAGUUGUAAAAGUUUGACUUAGGACAACUCUAGAAAUUGCAGCUUUCAGGGACGGAGGGAGUAUAAAAGUGUCAUUUUCUGAUUUUUAGCACACCCGCCUGUUACCGUUAUUACUAAUGAAUUUAUGAAUAUGGGAAAAUCCCAUGUUUUAGCUUUCUGUAGUAUUAUACUUUCGUGUUUUCCGAUCGUAUUCAUCCUAAACUUAUCUUGUACAACCAUGUGAAUAUUCUCGUUGGUUCUUUGCCGUAGUAUUGAUUUGUGUUUCAGUCGAGUUUAGUUUCGAUUUAAAGUAAGGAAAUUUCAUUUGUUUUGUGAUAUCGUGGUACGGCUAGUGUUAUGUUCUGCGUUUGACGUGUUUCUUGUUUUCAAAACAUCGUUUUGGUGGUUUCCAGUAGUUGUUGAUGUGCUUUGGAUUCGAUAGUUUCGUCUCAUCAGUAUUCCAAUAAAAGCAAUAACACAGAGGCCAUACACAUUUUCAACAAUGUCUAUCUAUCGUUUUUGUGUCUGAGGCCAAAAAAAAAAAGUGAAAGUGAUUUGCUUGUGCCGAUUUGGCGAUUUGUUUCUAUUAUUCUAUCCCUACGUGACAUCCCUAUCCUGUGUCAUCUCUAGGCAUAAGGUCGAAUCGAACCAUAGGUUCCUGAAAAUGCAUCACCUCGCCUGUUGUUUUUUCUUCUAUUUUUAGUCCAACAAAAAGCAAUCCAUGGAGAUGGAGAGUUCAAAGGUCCAAAUGCUUUAGUCGUGCGUGCCUAACUUACUAGCCUGUGUUGGGGAUCAAGAAGGGGUGGAGGAGAUGAACAAAUUAGACGACGCGACCUGCAUUUUUGGUUGGUUGCACCAUCAGUUGCUUUUGGGAAAACUGGCUCUGGAAAACCUCUUGCCAAGGAAAGCAUAAAAUUUUCUUCUGGCUUGCCCUCAGAGAUAGAUUAAGCACCAUAAAUAUGAUAAGAAGAAGAGGAAUGUUCCUGGAAACAUAUCAAUGUGUGUUAUGUCAGCAUCCCCCUGAAGAAACUGUCAUGCACCUACUCUUCUAUUGUCCCUUCGCCAAAGAUUACUAGAACACAAUGGGCUUCACCUAUAUUAAUCACCUGACAAUCCCACAGAUCUUUCAGGCCUGGAAAUCUAAACUGCAAGUGGAAUUCUCUCUGGAUAUCUUCGUCAUCUGGUGCUGGGCCAUCUGGAUGAUCAGAAACAAUGUUAUCUUCAGAAAUGAAGUCCCCUCAGUUCCUAAUUGCAAAAGGAUUUUCACCUCUGAGAUAUUAUUGCUUCUCCACAGAACUAAAUCAAGAAUUACCCCUCUCUUAGAAACAUGGAUCAGUGCGAAUUUGUAACACCAUGGGCUUUCUUUCUUUCUUUUGAUGUACCCUGAUCCUCCUUUGUGACUUCUUAGCUGCUUUAGGCUCGCCUUUUGUUUUUGUGUUUUUUUUUACUAUAAUUUACUCUUCUGUAAACUUGUCUUUUAUUUUUUUAUAUAUAUUGUUUCGCAGUAGGAGCCACUGGCUCCUCCUGAUUCUUCAAAAAAAAAAACCCGAGCGUCUUACUAUCCCUACGGUCCUUGGUUUGUUCACUGCACAAUGGUUCGGGCGUUCAGCGGAGAUAUGAUGGACAGCUGCUGUGAUUCAACGUAGUUGUAGUUUUUUCUAACUAUUUUUCUUGAGUUUACCUAUGCAUACCGGUAUGCCGGGCAUAAUCGUCUUUUGUAAUGUGUGAACGGUUUCACCUUCGUUCAACAAAGUUAUUUGCGCGUGGACAUAUGUUGUGAAUGGAAAAAGUCUACAUAACCCCCCAAACUAUCUAAGCUGGAAUACUUUACCCCCCAAAGUAUAAAACCGGAUAUUCUACCCCCUGAACUUUCAAAACCGGUCAAAUAACCCCCUCGAGUGGUUUUAGAGGGUGGUUUUGUCUUUUUCUUUUUUAUUUAUUUCCGCUGAAUCUGUGAAAAAUCAUAAUAAAUCAUAGAAAAAUCAUAAAAUAAAAAAUUCAAUUUUGUUGGACUCCUGAUGAGUAGAUCUACAUAGUGAAUAUAUAAUAUGAUAUACUUUAGUACAAAGUUUUUUCUGUAGCUUUAAAUCUAUGUUUUUCUGUAAUUAAUUAGAAUAAUUCAUAUAUGUAGUUCCUAUGGUCCAAUUGUGGUAAAAUUUUUAUGGUAGGCUCAUUAUUGUAUGCUUGAACUAUGGUAAAAAUUUCAUACUCAUUGGAUCACAUAUAACUUAGUUAUAGAUAAAGCAUAGAUUUAACAAGAAUAAAGCUAAAUAAAUCUAUAACUAAAUUUUACUUGAUCCAAUGGAUACGAAACUUUUACCAUAGUUCAAGCAUACAAUAAUGAGUCCACCAUAAAAAAUUUACCACAAUUGAACCAUUGGAACUACAUAUAUGAAUUAUUCUUUUUAAUUAUAGAAAAACAUAGAUUUAAAUCUACAACCAAAACUUUGUACUAAAGUAUACCAUAUUAUAUGUUCAUUGUGUAGAUCUACUCAUCAGAAGUCCAACAAAAUUGAACUUUUCAUUUUAUAAUUUUUCUGUGAUUUAUUAUGAUUUUUUAAAGAUUCAGCGGAAAUAAAUAAAAAAGAAAAAGACAAAACCACCCUCUAAAACCACUCGAGGGGGUUAUUUCACCGGUUUUGAAAGUUCAGGGGGUAAAAUAUCUGGUUUUAUACUUUGGGGUGUAAAGUAUUCCACCUUAGAUAGUUUGGGGGGUUAUGUAGACUUUUUCCUGUUGUGAAUCUACCAGGUAUCUUCAACUAUCUCAUGGUGACCGUUACACUGUUCUUUUUCUAACAUAGACGGUCACAUUAUUCAGUAAUACUCCCUCUAUCUAAAAAAAACAUAAUUCUAUCUCUUAAAGAGUUAAAUAAUUUAAUUUUGAUCAAAUCUAUAAAAAAUAUUAUUUAUCAUUACAAAUAAAUAUCACUAAAUUAAGAAUGUAGCAUAUUUGCAUAGUACAUCUAUUGAAGUUAUAAUGCAAUGAUAUUUUGUAUAUAUCUAGUUAAAUUUGAAGAAGUUUUACUUAAUAUAAAUAUAAAUGUGCAUUUUUUUAACGGAGACAGUAGUUUUCAGAUGUGUGUCUGCUUCUUUUUCCUUUGCUCUGUCAUCCAUGCCUGUUCGGAGCUCUCUUCUUUUUUUGGGAACAUAAGCUUCAUUACUCAAGAGAUAUCAUUACAAUCAGACUGCAAGCAGCGUUGCAGGAAGCUAGGAGGUGAAAACCAAACAUGAGUAUCUAAAGAAGAAGAUGCAAAAUGGGCACAAGAGUGCGCUGCGAAAUUUGCCUCCCGUCUUACAUGAAUCAUUUCAAAAGAAGUGAAGGCAGAAGCUAACUCCUGUAUCUCGUUCAGAAUUGUUGAAAUUUCAGACCGUUGCUUGGUUCUGUUCUUCCACAGGGAGACCACCUCUUGAGAAUCGGACUCUGCUACAACGUGUUCGGAGCUCUCUUGGAUUCGAAUAUCGGAUCGGUGGCUCAAUCAGUACGAGACAUUUAGGAAGAAUGACAUUCUUUAUUAGAUAGAGGGAGUACAUGUGCAUAUUUCCAGACAUCAAGGAGGCAGUCUUUGUAUGCUCUAAUCGCGCCUGUCAGAGGCUGUGACAACCCCCCACACCCCUUUGUAUGCUCUAAUCGCCUGCCAGAGGUUUUGACAACGCCCCCCCACCCUGUAUCUAACCUUCUAACAGAGACUCUGAAUGGACUUGCCCAGACAAUUAGCUAGACAAACGAAGACUAAGAAUUUGUUUAGCACGGUUUGUUCACUCUUUGGUCCGGGAGCUGUAACAAAGACUAAAGAAUUGAAUUGGCACAGUUUGUUCUCUCUUUGAACCGGUAGCAACAGCUCCCACCUCCCAGUGUAUUUUAGAGCAUCUCCAAGAGCUUGGCUAAAAUGAGUAGCUAAAUUCUAAUGUUUAGCCAUUUUGUAAAAUAGAUAACUUCUUAAAAAAGAAGAGGUUUACAACAGCCUUGCUAUUAGAUAGCUAGUGUCAGUGGUUGGCUAUAUAUGGCCAACGAAAAUCAAGAGAUAGCAAACUUUCUAUUUUACAAAACCAAAUAGCACAUCUGUUGGAGCCUAUUUUUCUACUAUAAAAGUUCUAAAAGGCCUCCAUAAUAAGAAUAGCAAAGCUGUUGGAGUUGCUCUGGGAGGAGACAAAAGGAUAGCUCUCCUAUUAGUAAAAUCGGAGCUGCUUGGAACCUUGCCAAAGAGAACCUAUUGUCCUCAUGGAUUAAAGGAAAGAGAGAUCUCUUAUGGUUAUGACUUCUCUUACGUGAUAUUAAAAUUAUACAACGACAUGGAGGAGGCGACAAAUGAAGUGGGUUGGUAUCAAUUUUACUCAUACUAUUUUCUGGUUUUAGUCAUACUAUUUUGUGAAUAAAAGGAAUCCCAAAAUCGAUAUCACUAUACACAAUCUUUAAUCUAAUGGAGGCGACUAGUAGGAGAAAGCUCUCUUAACCCUUGGUUCAUCUUUAAAGACACAAAAGUUAUAGUCUCAAACCUAAUUAUGUUCCUUUUAUGUCAUAUUUCCACCUCUCACUUCUCCCACCGAACCACACCCUAUCUUGCCUUUACCCUACCUUCCCCUUGCUAGUGUCGCCAUUUUUACUAAGAUGGCUAAGACCACUCUCCUCCCUCCGUCUCAUCUAUGUGGAUCUAAGAGCAUCUCCACCGGAUUUAAAAAAUAACCUCAUUUUCUAAAAACCUAUCAUAUAGGGAAUGAGUUAAAAAAAUAGCUCCAGCAGAUUCUCUUUCUCAAUUCCCUCAAAACAUCUCCUUAAUCCCUCAAAUAGAGGGGAUCCGACUAUCUUUUUUCUCAAUCCUCUUUCCUCCCACGUUGUCACCGGCAUCGGGGCCAGCUCCAGGUGGGUACACAGUACACUAUUACUAUGCCACCGUCCGUGCUGAAUGACCGGUGAGUGAGGACGUGGGGUGCCGUGCCGUGCUAUGCAGGCAAGCCAGGAAUCUCGUAUCCUAUGCUACUUGCGUGAGAGAAGAGAUUAGAUGAGGAGGAAGAAGAAGAAACCCAAUGACAUGUGCGACCUGCCCGUAAGAGAGGUAAAGGGGUGGUGUUUUCUCAAGCUACUACAGUUCAUCUCCCCUAUUAUCCGUAAACUUGUUUUUUCAAUCUCCUAUAGUAGAUUUUACAGGAGAGGGGAUCUGAUGAAGAUAUACUCUAAGCUUCUCUCCCCUCCACUAUUGCCCCUUCCAUCUAGUUUGGAUAUGAUCUCUUUCAUCUCUACCAAAAAGACCCUUUCUACAUUAUCUAAGAGGGUAUUUGGUUGGAGGUGUUAAAAUUUAAUAGGUACCCUAGCAUUUUUGUUUAACAAUUAGUGUCUAAUCAUAGACUAAUUAGGCUCAAAAGAUUUGUCUCGUAAAUUAUUCUUUAACUGUGUUUUUAGUUUUGUAAAUAGUAUAUAUUUAGUACUCCAUGCAUGUGUCCAAACUUUAUGAGCAACUUUCUAGGUGAAGUUGAGCUAUUUUAAAAAGAAAUUGGCAAAACAGUUUCACUAACAAUUUCAUGAAUGGAUGAGAGGGAGAGAAAUGAGGGAGAGAUAGGAUAAGCUAUUUUUCAAAUUAGCUUCAUGACAGAAGAAGAAAAAUAACUUCAUCCAUAAAGCUAAUUUGAAAAAUAGGUAUUAAAAAAAUAUAGCUUACAACAGCUUAUGAAGGUGAACUGUGCCAAACUGUGCUCCUAUAUUUUUUUCGAUCGCCAAGGGUUUGAGACAAUCAAUGCAUAGUUGAGGUGAUAACGGAAGAUAUAGCUGUUCGUCGUGAUCAGCACUUGUUCGGGCUCUUCGCCGGCUCUGUUUGACGUUAAGGGUCACUUCUGCCGGGGUAAACCUGUGAAGCAUAGAUUAUGUCAAAAGAGAAAUGAACCACGGUGUACUUAUCCGUCACAAGAAGUGGUGAACUAACACUCCAUCUGCGGACCUCCAAUCACCGGCAAUCAAUGCGGCAUGCCCAUAGCCCAUUGCAUCAUUGUCAGGUACAGAGGAAAGGCAAGAAAUUCAGGUCGUCCAUCGUGGCACACGAGCUGUCCAAAUGCUCCACUGCGUCUCUGACUGGCUCCAUCCGGCUGCUACCUUUGUGCCUGGGAUCAAAGCAAAGGAACCCAAGAUGGACGAGACGCACAAACUUGUUGGCUGCCGGCACCGGUCGGCAAGACGAAUUACAGUACCACCGUCGCUGCA